UCUGAAAAGCUUUACAUGAACAUUAUUUUUAUCUAAUAUUUGUGAUAAUCGACAAACUACUUUGGAAUCAACCUUGUGGUUCAUAUAUUCAUCAAUUGAACAACAAAUCAAUAAUGUUUACUUGAAUAGAAAGAAAUAGGACCUUAUUUCUAUUAUAAUUAAUCAUCAUAUACCUUAUUAUUGUGAUCAAGUUUUCAAUUUCAUGUUUGUAUCAUAAAUGUAGAGUAGCACAAACUUUGGGCAUUGUUCAAGCAUCAACAACAUGCUACCAAUGCAAUGAUAUGGUUGUCACUGUAUCUUAAUAGUUGGUGGAUCUCUACCAUUGUUAGCAGAUCUAUCAAAUUUUGCACCCACGGAUGUGAAUAUUAUUUUGAUAAUUGAGGCAAUCCGUAGAAUGCAUAUAAAAGAGGAGAUGUUAAAGGAGGGGAUGAGGUGUUUUUAGUAGUGGUAUUUGUAUUUUCCAUCACCACACUAAAGUUCAUAUUUAGGUGUUGUAGUAUUUCUAUGUUUACGAUUUUUCUCAUGAUACCACAUGCAUGCUCCACAAUGAUCACAUUCAAUAAGAGGAUCACCAAUAUCAGAAUAUCCUAAACCAAAUUUUUUAAGGUUAGUGGUUCUUUUGUUGUAUUAUAUAUUAAAAUUCAUAAUAUAUAGUAAAUAACCUAGCUCCACAAUUAUCAUAAUGAUUUUCAUCAUCUGAAGAGUACUCAAUAUUCACAUCUUCCAAAUAUAAACAAUAAACAAUAUUAGUCUAACAUUGACACAUUAAAUUGACUUUUUCAAUGACUAAUAAUAAGCUGAAAUAUUAAAUGAAUACCUUGUAUGUCAAUAUCUUACUUGUCAAUAUCUUCAGUUGUAUGAUGAUGGAAUUAGUGACUAUAACUUUGAGUUUAUGAAAAAGGUAAGAUAUUUUCUUUUCUUGGUGCCAUAUUGGUCAAGUUUUCAUGAUCGAAUAUGGCACCGUAUCUAUUCAUAAUAUUUAUGCCUAAUCUCCAAUGUGACUAUAGUAAAAACGUAAUGUACCUUGUGUGGUAAAUAAUGGUGUUGGUGUAUUCACAAGAAGUCCUAAGGAAACAACAAAAUUUGUGAUUGAAUGAUUCACUUCAAAAUCAGAUGAAAUGAAAAGAAUGUCAGAGAAUGCACUCAAAUUAGCACAACCUGAGGCGAUAUUUAACAUCGUCAAGGAUAUUCAUGAACUUGGUUAGUAAUGCAAGAAGCCUUUAGUAACAUUUCCAUACAAGUUGACCACCUCAUUUACCACCAUAGUUUAAUUUAUAAUUUAUGCAUCUUAUACAUUAUCUUUUAUGUGUUAGAAGUUACAUGUACAAUUAUGUAGCCUAUAUGUCAUAUUUUGCGUGUUUGGUUGGCCAUAAUUGAUUUACCAUAACAUGCUCUUGUGUACUGUUAUAGUUUGGGAUCUAUUAAGGAUGUUUUGUAGCAGAUAUACUUUAUAGUUGCUGCAAGGUUCUAUUUUAUUUUUCUAUUUCCUCUUUUCCAUCAAAUUUUCCCUUGUAAUUAUACUUAACACUUAGAGAAAAAGUAAAAUAAAUGGAGUACCAUGCUAUUAUUAUAAACUACUUAUUGCCUUAUGGUUAUCAUUGCUUUAGAAAAAGUCAUAUUACUUUCCUAUAAGGAUAGUCUAGUGUUUUAAAUUGUGAUUGCAAUUCUGGUCAUUGCAAUGCAAAUUGCGAUCGUUGCCGUAUGACUGUUGACACAACUGAGAUAGUUUGACUUUUUUAUUACGGUUAUGGUGUAACUUUUUGAAAUAUUAUCGGGGCAGUGUAUUUUUUUCUGAACUCGUGCUUGUCAAGCACUAGUUCAUUUUUUAUUUAUUUCACUCAACAAGACUCGUGCCUGCCGUGCACGAGUCAUUUUUUUAAAUUUUAUCCCCCCAAAACUCGUGGACGAGUUCCAUGAUUUCACUUCAGUCCAUAAAUCUCGUGAGUAAGAGCCACGAGUUCCAAUCUCUUGGACCAAAUCCACGAGAUCUUUUUGCCCUAAUCAACUUUGUUGAUUUAGGGUUUAUCAUACAAUUGGGUUUUUUGGAUAGGUUUGUAUGUAUCUAGGUUGCAUGGGUUUGUAUGGAUAUUGAAGUUGUUUAUUAUAUUUUACUUUUAUUCGAUUAUUAGUAAUAUGAAUGAUAUUAAUUAGAGAAAAAUAAAUAUUCAAAAUACAAUAAUAAGAAUGACAUGAAAAAAUAUUUAUAAUAAAAACAUUGAAAUUACAAUCCAUAAUAUUAAUGAUGUCUGUGAUGUGAUCAAGGGCCACACGGGGGUGGCCUUCUUCUGCGUGGUGGAAGAACCUUGAAUUAUUAUUGAGAUAUUUCUCUGGCUCUUCCACUACCACCUCUUCUAACUUGUUGCUCCUCUUCCUCCUCAUCACCACUAUCUUCAUUAUCAUAAAUAUUGCUUUAUUCUGGUUGUGAGAGCAUAAUGGGACGGUAAAAUUCUUGUGACCCAUAUGCCAAUAUUGGCGUGUUUGAACUUUUAGCAAAUAUUGAUGGUAGUGAUCCUUGAAAUUGAGAACUUUGUCCCAUAUGGUAGCUAGUUGGAAAUAUUGUGAAAGCCCUAUAGGAUUGUUCUCCAUGUAGAUGAGGUAGUGGUAUUUGUGCCUGUCAGUGAACCUUUGUUUGACUUGAACUUUGAUGUUGAGGUUCAGACUCGUAUGCAAACUUAUUGAAAUGUUGAGUAGGAGGAGCUCGAGGUUGGGACAUAUUGAAGGUUGUUGGAUUUAACUCUGCCAAUGCCUUCACCAAAUCUUUAGACACAAAAUGGAUGUAAUCGAUAGUUUGAAUGAGAUUGUUGUAAGGCUGAGGAGCAACUGUUCUUUCAAUAAGUUCAUUUGCAAAGUUAUACUGCCAAAAAUAUAUAAGAAGUUUAGUUAUUGAAUGAAAUAAAAGUAAAUUAAAAAAAUUAUUUAUUUGAGAAAACUUAAUGCUCCAACAAAAUAUGCUCCAUUUGGCGAGAUAUAUCUCUCUGUCCUUUGUAAAUAUCAUUGCAUAUACUAUGAGUAGUGAUAUAAAGGUUUAGUGUCAGGAAUGUCGUUGACCACACGCAGUUCCCGACUAUCCCACAUUUGAAUCCAAACUUCAUGUUUCUGUGGCCAAUUGUAUUCAUUCUUGCCACGCAAGUCCAUCUUGUGGAGUUUAUCAAAGUUUGGUGGAGCUUGUGAGAUUGGUUGUUGCAUCCCAAAUUGUCUCAUGACUCGAUCGAAAACAUACCUUGCGAAACAAAUUAAUGGCAUACGUGCUCUACGAAUAUAAGGGAUUUGUCCCCUAAUAUUCAUUGUCCUAUAAUGGGUGGGUCUAGACAAACUGGAAAAAAGGAAAUUGGUGGCUAGAAACUAGAGGAAAAAUUUCAUGAAUAAAAUAAUAUUUAAGAAAUGAAGAGUGUUGUGCAAUGACUCAUAUCUCUAGAUAACAACAAUACAAAAUAUGGGUUUGGGCUGAUGUAAAGAGGCUGGGGUAGAUGACUAUAUAUUUAUGUUAUGUAAACCUAAUGUAACAGGGAGAUGAAUAGUCAAACAUAAAUCUUUGUUCUCUAAUAAUAUAUAGUUGUAGCCUCUUAACGCUCCUAGGGACGUAUGAACAAUUGGUUGAACCUCAUUACCAAAUCCCUUGUGUUAUUCUCUUUUAUCUACACUCUUUUACUAUUUUAUUACUCACUUGUUCCCAACAGUUGAUAUCAGAUGGCUCUUAACCUAGAUGCCAAAUUUGAGGUAGGGAAGUUCGAUGGAACUAGUAAUUUAGGAUUGUGGCAAAGGAUGAUUAAGGAUGUAUUGGCUCAACAAGGUCUAUCAAAGGCGCUGUGUGAGGAUAAGCUAGAUGAUAUCGAUCAACUGGAAUGGGAAGAGUCGAAGGAGAACGCCAUGGAAAUGAUACGACUUUGUCUAUCAUAUUGGGUGAUAUAUCAUGUUAUGGAUUUGAGGUCACCAAUAAAGGUGUGGGAGACAUUAGAGAAGUGGUUCAUGUCCAAGUCUUCAACAAAUAAGUUGCAUUUGAAACAUAGACUCUAUGACCUGAAGAUUCACGAGGAUGAUGAUUAGCAACGUCUCAAAAAUUUUACUUGCAGAAACUUGAUGUGAAGGUUGAUGAUGAUGACAAAGCAAUAAUGUUAUUGCGUUCUUUGCCAAAUUCCUAUGAACAGUUGGUAACAACAUCGACGUACGGGAAAAACUCAAUCAAAAUGGAUGAAAUCACAUAUGCACUUGUGUCCUACACUCAAAGAAGACAGAAUGUAGGGGAAGUUUCUUGGGGUGAUGGUCUGUAUGUGAAAGGGAGCCAAACGCGUGGGAGGAGACAAGGCAGAGGAGGUCCUAACAAUAGGAAAAGACCAAAUUACAAGGACAUAACACUAGUAGAGUGCUUUAAGUGCAAACAGGUCAGGCAUUAGAAAAAUGAUUGUCCCAAUGAAUAGAUUCCUAACAAGCUAGUGGGGAAAGAUGGAGUAUCUACAUCUGUAAAUGUUGCACAGAAAGAUGACUCUAGUUAAAACAGUGAAGUUGAUAUAUUAUCUAUAUCAUCAAAUCAUAGUGUGUGAGUGGAUACUUGACACUAGUUAUUCCUGCCACAUGACGCCAAAUAGAGAAUAGUUCACCACAUACAGGGAAGGCAAUUUUGGUUUCGUGUAUCUCAGAAAUAAUAAGGCAUGUGGAAUUAUUGGCAUGAGAGAAAUUAGAAUUGUGAUGGAUGAUGUGUAGUGAAGACGUUAUGUGAGGUUAGGCAGAUAUUAGAUUUGAAGAAGAAUUUGAUUUCUUUGGAGACAUUGCAGGCCAAAGGAUUUAGCUAUAGAGAUGAUGAAGACAGUGGUAUUCUUCGAGUAUGCAAAUGGGCUCUGACUGUGAUGAAGAGUAAGAGGACUGCUGGGAACACUUACAAGUUGUUAGGGAGAACAAUUGUAAGUGGAGUUGCUGGAGUGGUUGAAUAGAUUUUAGUAGAUUUAGACCAUGAUACUACAAAAUUAUGGCACAUGCAUUUGAGUCAUAUUAGUGUGCGUGACAUGACAAAACUAUGCAAAAGAAGACUGUUGAGGGGAGACAGUGAAUGCAAGCUUGAUUUGUGUAAGUAUUGUGUGCUUGGGAAAUAGACAUGAGUUAAUUUUAAGGAUGGCUAACACAGGACUCGAGACAUUCUAGACUAUGUCCACAAUGAUGUAUGGGGACCCACUCAACAACCAUCCCUAGGAGAUUCUAGGUAUUUUGUUACCUUCGUUGAUGAUUUUUCUUGUAAGGUUUGGGUAUAUUUUAUGAAGCAUAAGUCAUAAGUCUUUGCCAAGUUCAAGGUUUGGAAGGCAAAGGUAGAGAACCAAACUGUUAGAAAAAUCAAAUACAUGAAGUCAACCAAUAGUAUGGAGUAAAAAGACUCACGAUUUUAGAAAUUAUGUAAGGAACUUGGCAUAUCAAAGACACUUUUCAAUGAAGAACACUCUUCAGCAGAAUGGUGUUGCACAGAGGAUGAAUAGAACUCUUGUAGAGAGGGCCAAAUGUAUGAGACUAAAUGUUGGACUUUCCAACAUAUUUUAGGCAGAUGCACUUUGUAUGGCAUGCUAUAUCAUCAAUAGAUCACCACUGACUUCAUUGGAUGGUAAAUUUGUAGAAGAUGUAUGAACAAGUAACCCAAUCAAUUGUAAUAUGUUAUGUAUAUUUUGUUGUCCUACUUAUAUACAUGUACCCAGUGAUGAACAAUCUAAACUUUAUCGCAAGUUAAAGAGGUGUAUCUUCAUUGGAUAUACCAAAAGUGUGAAGGGGUUCAAGUUUUGGGAUCCAAUUUCCAGAAAAGUGGUUUUGACUAUAGAUGCAGUGUUUGAUGAAGAUUUCAUGCUAAACAGUCAGUUUUGACAGAGGUGUCCAAGCCAAAUGGAGAGACUUUAGGAUCAAAUUUGAUUCCAGUGAGCAAUGAAAUGGUUCACGUGAACAAAGACAAAGAACCAUGCACUAGUUCAAGUCAAGAACAUGAUGAUUCUUCGGCGGAGAGUUCAGGUGUGCAAGAGUAUCUACUUGCUAGAGAUAGGGAUAAACGUCCUAUCAAACCUCCAGAGAUAUGGUUUUGAGGAUAUGGCUUCAAUUGCUCUCCAUAACAGUUUAGGGGAUCCAUGUAGCCUUCAAGAGGUUUAUACAAUGGAUGGGUGCCAUGUUGGAGGAGAUGGAUUCUUUACACAAGAAUAAAACUUGGGAGCUUGUCUCAUUGCCUCCAAAUAAGCGUGCAAUUGGGUGCAAGUGGGUGUACAAGAGGAAACCAAUAAUAUCAUAAAAAUAAGGGGAAAAUUUCAAGGCUCUUCUUAUAGAAAAAGGGCAUUCACAGUAGAAGGGGAUAGACUAUAAUGAGAUUUUCUCCCUAGUGGUGAGAUACAAUUCUAUCAGGAUACUACUUGCCUCGGUAGCCAGCUAAGAUAUGCACUUAGAAAAAAAUGUGAAGACCGUCUUUCUCCAUGAUUAAUUAGAGGAUAAAAUUUACAUGACACAACCAGAAGGGUUCAGUGCAGCUGGACAGAGUCACUUGGUUUGCAUGUUUAAGAAGUCUUUAUAUGGGUUGAAGCAGUCUCCCAGAUAGUGGUACAAGCAGAUUGACACUUAUAUGUUGAGCUUUGGUUACAAGCGUUGUAAGUAUGAUUGUUGUAUUUAUGGGAUAAGCCUUGAUGAUGGUUCUUUUAUUUUUCUGCUACUUUAUGUUUAGGAUAUGUUGAUUGCUGCUAAUCAUUUGAGUGAUAUAAAUGAGAUGAAAGUAAUUCUAGGUAAGGAGUUUGACAUGAAAGAUUUAGGGGUUGUUAGGAAGAUUCUUGGGAUUGAAAUUCAUAUGGAUAGGGGAGCUAGAAAACUAUGGCUCUCCCAGCAAAGCUGUGUUGAAAAGAUCUUAGAGAGAUUUGAUAUGAGCAAUGCUAAAGUAUUGAGCACUCCAUUGGCAAAUCACUUCAAGUUUUCCCUAGAUUAGUGUCCAAAGGCAGAUGAAGAGAUAAAAUAUAUGUCAAAAGUUUCAUAUGCCAAUCUAAUGGGUUGCUUGAUGUAUGCUAUAGUUUGUACUAGACUGAACUUGACACAAGCAAUUAGUCAAGUAUGCAAGUACAUGCCUAAAUUAGGGAAGCAACAUUGAGAAGUAGUCAAAUGCAUUUUCAUAUAUUUGAAGGGGACUAUAGGUCUCAGUAUCAUGUUUGGCUGUCAAUAGAGUAAGCCUUCAAUUGUUGCUUAUGUUGAUUUAGACUAUGCAGGAGACUUGGAUGAUAGAUGGUCCACAAUAGGGUUUGUCUUCACCCUUACAAGUGGACCAAUCAUGUGGAGAUCAUCAGUUUAGUAUGUUGUUGCAAUGUCCACAACUGAAGCAGGAUACAUGGCAGCUAGUAAAGCUUCUAAGAAAGGUGGAGUUUGUGGGCAGAUACUAUUGAUGUAUCAUGCUAGGACCAAACAUAUUGAUGUGAGAUUUCACAAAAUCAGAGAGUUGGUAGCUUGUGGGCAGAUACUAUUGCAGAUGGUUCACACUUUAGAAAAUGUAGUUGAUAUGUUAACGAAGUCGUUUACCAUGGACAAGUUUAGGCCUUGUCUAAGCUUGCUGAACAUUCACUGAUACUAUAUUGUAGAGCGCCCCCAACCUAAUGGCGGAAGAUGGAGAUUGAUGAUAUUUGCCAAGGUGGAUAUUAUUGUGUAAUGACCCAUAUCUCUAGAUAACAGCAGUAUAAGUUAUGGGUUUGGGCUGAUGUAAAGGGGUUGGGGAAGAGGGCUAUAUAUUUAUGUUAUUUUAACCUAAUUUAUAGUCAAACAUAAAUCCUUAUUCUCUAAUAAUACAUAGUGGUAGCCUCUCAACGUUGUCGGGGAUAUAGGCACAAUUGGUCGAACCUGGUUACCAAAUCCCUUGUGUUAUUCUAUUUUAUCUAUACUCUUUUACUAUUUGAUUGCUCGUAUGUUCCCAUCAGAGAGAACUAAAUUACUAUUUAAACUUACUUGAUCAACGCACAAACAAUCUAACAUUGUACGAAUGAUGUUGGAUAUAUGCCCAUGAAUAUGUUGGUCAUAAGAUGUUAUGACUACCAUUUUAAUAUAAUUAAAAAUAGUUAGUUUAUAAAUUCAAUUUAUAGCAUAUGAAAAUAUUAAAUUACUAUAAAAUUUAAAUUAAAUUAAACUAGUAUACAAAAAAAUGAUACAUUUUUACCAACAGAUAAAUUGUACUAUGAUGUCAUGCGGUCUUGGUGCAAGAAUUGAUAUGUGGUCGUAUGCCCAUGACUGAAGUAGUAACAGACACACUCAACCUCUUUUUGUUGCUUAAUUAUUGUUGCACAACAUAGUCCUCGAUAUAGACAAGCCAAUAUAAAUUAUUCCCAAUUGUAUUCGAAUAUCUCAUAGAUCAUCUAGCAAAAGGAGAUACAUUAGGUGGACUUGGGAUCCUGAUGUAUCUGACAUGAGCAAUCCUCCUAUCAUUAUGAGAAUGAACAUUCUAGCAUGUUGUUCUACCACUUCCUCAUUAGCAUCUUUUGGAAUCCUGCUAUCAUUCUGAGAAUGAACUAUCUAGCAUGUCGUUCUAGCAUGCAUUUUCUAUGACAAGAGGAAUGCAUUGGUUCUUACAUGAAAACACUAAUACACUACAUGCAUUGGUUUGUGUCGUAAUACACUAACUAUAGUAAUUAACAUGUAGACAUGCAUUGGUUAUUUUUUUUUUUGCAAUAUUGACCUAUAUACAUUGAUCAUUUUCUAUGACAAGAGACAUGUAUUGAUCACACAAAAUUAUAAACUAAUACACUAGUAAUAUACUUAUACACUUAUAUGAAUUUAGAUCUAGGUUAGUAUUUUAGUUGAAGAAAAUAAAUUUCGGUGAGUACUUUUAUUAAAAAAUUAAGAUUUAGAUUAAAAUUUAAAUUAUCUUAAUUAAUACUCUAACCUAUUUGUUAAUAAUUUAGUUAAUACACUAAAUUAACUUAGGUAAUACACUAACAUGCAUCAGUGAUUUUGUUAGUGUUUUUAAUUCCAACAUUGACCAAGCAUGCAUUGGUCAUUUAUUCCAAUUUGACUAAUACACUAACAUGUAUUGGUCUUUGAAUUUGUGUAAGGAAUACAUCAUUUGUGUAAAGAAGACAUGCAUUGGUCUUAAAAUUUGUGUAAAAAAGACAUGCAUUGGUCUUAAAAUUUGUGUAAGGAAGACAUGCAUUGGUCUUUCAAUUAUUUGGUCAUUCAAUGUUUUUAUCAUAAAGAAUUUAGAUUUAGGUUAAUAUUUUACUUAAAGAAUUUAUUAAUAUUUUAGUUCAAGAAUAAAGGUUAUUCGAAUAAUAAAGUUUAUUCAAAUAAUAAACUAAUACACUAACUACACUCAUUGUUUUUGUCAUAAAAUACAUUACUUCACUAACUAAUAUACUAAUGCAAAUAAUAAACUAAUACACUCACUAUUUUUAGUUGUCUUAGUUAAUACACUAAAGUAACAUUGACCAAGAAUUGCAUUGGAAUCUGAAUAUAUACAUGCAUUGAUUACCUUGUUUCAUAAAAUGCACAUAUUGGUCAUUCAUUGGUCAAUCAAUUUUUAUCUUUGAAAUGGUCAUUGUAUGAUAAUGUGAUUCCUUGUGUCAUAUAAUACAUGCAUUGGUCAUUCAUUGUUUGUGUCAUAAAAUGCAUGCAUUGUUCAUUCAUUGUUUGUGUCAUAAAAUAUAUUGCUACACUAACUAACUCAAUAGUACACUAAUACAAAUUAUACACACUAAUACACUAAUAUGAAUUAUACACUAAUAUACUAAUACACUAAUAUGAAUAAUACAACAAUACACUAACAGAAUUUAGGUAUAUUUUACUUGAAGAAUUUAUAAAUAUUUUACUUGAAGAAUUUAUAAAUAUUUUACUUAAGGAAUUUAGAGAUAGACAAAUAUUUUAGUUAAAGAAUUUAGAUAUAGACUAAUAUUUUAUUUAAUGAACCUUAUUCAAAUAAUAAACUUAUACAAUAACUAUGCUAACUAUUUUCAAUUGUCUUAGUCAAUACACUAAAGUAACAUUGACCAUGAAUUGCAUUGGAAUCUGAAUAUGUACAUGCAUUGAUUACAUUGUGUCAUGAAAUGCAUGCAUUGGUCAUUCAUUGUUUGUCUUUUCAUUGGUCAAUCAAAUUUUGUCUUUAAAAUGAUCAUUGUAAGAGAAUCUGAUUCUUUGUAUCAUACAAUGAAUGUAUUGGUCAUUCACUGUUUGUGUCAAAAUGCAUACAUUUGUCAUUCAUUGCUUGUGUCAUAAAAUAUAUUGUUACACUUACUAAUAUACUAAUAAAAAUAAUAUACUAUUAUACUAAUACACUAAUAUGAAUAAUACACCAAUACACUAAUAUAAUUUAGGUAUGUUUUAGUUGAAGAAUUUAUUAAUAUUUUACUUAAAGAAUUUAGAGAUAAGUUAAUAUUUUAGUUAAAGAAUUUAGAUAUAGGCUAAUAUUUUAGUUAAUAAACCUUAUUCGAAUAAUAAACUAAUACACUAACUACUGACUAUACUAACUAUUUUCAAUUGUUUUAGUCAAUACACUAAAGCAACAUUGACCAAGAAUUGCAUUGGAAUCUGAAUAUGUACAUGCAUUGAUUACCUUGAGUCAUAAAAUGCAUGCAUUGGCCAGUCAUUGUUUGUCUUUGCAUUGGUCAAUCAAUUUUUCCUUUGAAAUGAUCAUUGUAAGAGAAUUUGAUUCCUUGUGUCAUAAAAUACAUGUAUUGGUCAUUCAUUCUUUGUGUCAUAAAAUACAUGUAUUUGUCAUUCAUUGUUUGUGUCAUAAAAUACAUUGCUGCACUAACUGAUAUACUAAUACAAAUAAUACACUAAUAUGAAUAAUACACCAAUACUUUAAUAUAAUUUAUGUAUAUUUUAGUUGAAGAAUUUAUUAAUAUUUUACGUAAGUGAUUUAGAGAUAAGUUAAUAUUUUAGUUAAAGAAUUUAGAUAUGGGCUAAUAUUUUAGUUAUAAACCUUACUCGAAUAAUAAACUAAUACACUAAUUAUGCUAACUAUACUAACUAUUUUCAAUUUGUUUUAGUCAAUACACUAAAGUAACAUUGACCAAGAAUUGCAUUGGAAUAUGGAUAUGUACAUGCAUUGAUUACCUUGUGUCAUAAAAUGAAUGCAUUUGUCAUUCAUUGUUUGUCUUUGCAUUGGAGAAUCAAUUUUUUUCUUUGAAAUGGUCAUUGUAAGAGAAUCUGAUUCCUUGUGUCACAAAAUGCAUGUAUUUCUCGUUUAUUGAUUGUGUCAUAAAAUUCAUGCAUUGGUCGAAUAACUUGAAGUGAAGGCACGAAAACACGACCACGUUGUGCUUGGGACCAUGAUUGUUUGUAAAUUGAUGAAAUUGUAGCCUCAACAUAGAGAGCAACAUGGACAAGUUGUGCCACCACCCAUGGUCGUGCCACCAUGCUAGAAAAGAACCCUUUCUAUGCCACGAUCCACGUCCAGGCCGUGUCCCACAACCAUGAUCGUGUUACACUCAAUAAACUCUUGUUUCUAAUCCUAUUUCAUUUUGUGUCAUAAAAUGUAUUAGUCAUUUAAGUUAAACUAACUAUUUUAUGAGGCAUGACAAAAUGUACUAGUCAUUUAAUAAAACAAUGUUUAAAAAAAAUUCAUACACAAUAAUAUAAUAUUAAGUUAUUAAUAUUACAUUUAUUAUUCAUCAUUAUUGGGUUGCCUAGAACUAUCACUCAGUUCCCUCAUUCGAAAUGGACACUUCUUCCUUUUAUAGCCUUCUGUCCUACACCAUCCACAUUUUGUAAUCUUCUGAGAUUGAACUUCAUCCAUUUCAUUAUGUAUCCAUGUAGUUUUUGGUCUUCCAGUUCGUUUCCUUCGCAAACAUAAUUAGGAAUGAAUGAGAAUCCUGAAUAAGGAGGCCAAUAUUUUUCAUUACAUACUGGAUGAAACUAAUGUCCAUAGACCUUUAAAAUAUUAUCUAACUGACAAAUUGGUGAAUAAAUUGCCCAUAAUCUAAAUUCAUUGUUGAACAUAAAGCAAUUGCAGAGAGCAUGAUGAUCUCAAUGAUUGAAACUCUUCCCAGCCACACCAUUUUUUGAUUAGUUUCACUGUAUACACUCAUGAAUGUCGAACAUCAGAUCUAGAAGCAACUUCAACCUCAGCUACCCCCGUCUCCCUUGACAAACUAUGAACAAGCUAACAUAUAAUCUGAUGUUGAUUUUCUUUGAUCACAUUUGUCAACUCUUUACAUUAUAUAUACCAUGCCUUAAUCAUGUUAGUAGCUUCACCUCUAUGAUCAACAAAUUAUGAAUUUAGUCAGUAAUAUGUUGUUCGGACAAGGGUAGUGAUAAGAGAGCUCUAGAUUCUUUCAAAACAUCGUUAAUACAUUUUGCAAGGUUCAUAGUCAUAUGGUUGUACCGUCUCCCUUCAUUGUAAGAUUGAGCCUAUUUUUAUUUAGGGAUAUGGUCCAACCAUGUUCAUGCCCUCAAAUUGUUUUCUCGCAAAAUACUAAGCAUCUACUCAAAACGUGGUCACAUCAAGUCAUAUCAUAGAAAAAACUAUAAAUAAUUAAUAAAAUUUUAAUAUAUAUAAAACAUUAAAUUUUUAAAAAAAGUCAUACCCAUUUGAAUAACUUUAUCUUUAAGAUCAGAAUCUCGAAACUCCUUAUUGAAAUUGUUGACAAGAUAACGAGUACAAUAAACUAAUUGAGUAUUACACCAUUCGAGCAGCUCGAUACGAAGUGCAGCCAACAAUCCUGUACCCCUAUAUGAUAUUAUAGACAUGAUCGGUUGUGGGGUAACAAAAGUUCGAAGGUAGUAAAAAACCACUCUCAAGCUUCCUUCGUUUCUUAUUCAAUAAUGGCAAAAGCAACUGGAAAGAUAACAUGUUACCAUCUUAUGAACUUGUUAUUAGCAACGUUCUAGUAUAUUUGCUGGUCAAAAAUGUCCCAUCAACUUGUAGAAUUGGUUUACGAUAUGCAAAGCCUUCAAUGCAUAGCUUAAAAGCCCAGAAUACCUAUCAAGAAAGAAACUACUAGGGUCUUCAAUACAAUCUACAAAGUCACAAGAUGCUUCAUAAUAGACAAUUGUACCUGAGGCAAAGUUUUGGACAACAUUCCUCCAACGUGGUAAGUCAUUGUAUGAACCCUCCCAAUCACCAUAAAUUCGGCUCAUUGCUAAUUGCUUCACAUUCCAAGCCUUUCAAUAGGUUACGAUAUAUCCAAAAUGACUUACAAAUUCUUUCACAAGCACCUUAUUAAUUGGUAUACCGGGAUCUUCGAAUACCAAAUUAAUAAUACAGUUUGAAAUGAAUGACGAGUUUUGUUUGGUGUGGUCUUGAGAAACAACAGUGGAUACACAAGUAUGUGUUCCAUUAAUUUUCUUAAUUUCCUAAACACCAUGUUUUACAUUAAAAGAUGCAUGAAUUCACCAUUCACAUCCUACACUGAAAUAUUUACAAUGACCAACAUAUCCAUUUGGCCUUGACUCUGCAAUAGUAUACUCAAAUGAUUAUGAAUUAAAAUUGUUUAAUUACAUAUAGUAUUGCUUCUUUAGACUCAAAUUGUAUGCCAACAAAUAAAUCAUUUUCAUUCCUUAAAGUAGUCGAUCCUCGAUAGUCAUGACCACCCCGAGAAUUAGUAUCACGAAAAACAUAUGACGUAGUAGCAUAUGUUAUGUUAUCAUCUGGUUGACUACUACCAAUCUCAACAUCAUGCUCAUCGUCAUCAUCGCCACAUAACUCAAUCUCAUCGUCAUCACUGAAAUAACUAACAAUAUCUCUUAUGAUAGUCAUUUAUAUCAAAGAACAAAUUAUAAAUAUCAUAUAUAAUGUUCAUAAUAAUAACAAUACUUGUAAUUAAGAAAAUAAUAUAGUUACCUUAAGAUAAGCAAGGAAGAUAAGCAAAUAACUAAGGAGAAUUAACGAAUAUAAGGAAGUAAGUAGGGAGAGUGUGUAUGUGAUGUGUUUGCUGAAAAUGGUGUUUCAUCACAUAUGCUUCAGCCAGUAUUUAUAGAAUUUAGUACUCGUGAACCCUAUCCACGACUCAAGGAAAUCGUGUACCCUAUCCAAGACUUUUGUGGAUGUCGUGGACUACAUCCACAACUCACUUCUAGUGGAAAAAAUUUAAACAGGCGCGUGCUUUGCAGGCACAAGUUUAGGUGAGUGAAAGUAUAAAAGAAUGACUCAUGCAUGGCUGACACGAGUCUUGUUGAGUGAAAUUAAUAAAAAAUGAAUUUGUGCAUGGCAGACAUGAGUUCAGCAAAAAAUACACUAUCCUAAUAAUAUUUUAAGAAGUUACACUAAAACCGUAAUAAAAAAGUCAAACUACCUAGUUGUGUAAAUUUUAUUUUAUAGUUGGUGCAAGGUUCUGUUUUACUUUUCUAGUUCCUAUUUUCCUUCAAUUUUUCUCUUGUAAUUAUACUUAGCACUUAGAGAAAAAGUAAAAUAAAUGGAGUACCAUGCUAUUAUUAUAAACUAUUUACUGUCUUAUGGUUAUCAAUGUGAUUACGGUCUGAUGUGACGGAUCAUUGUGAUUCGAUAUCACACCACAAUUAUGGCAUGAUAAGAUUACAACGAUCACCAUAAUAUUACGGUUGCAUUACAUGAUACGACCCGUAAUUUAAAUCACUAAGAUGGCCUAUCAAAUGUGUCUUAACUGAACAUGAAAGCUCUUUUUGUUAUCAAAUGAUUGAACCAAAGCCAAAUAAUAGUGAACCAUGAAGACUAGACAAAUGAAAAUAAAUCUUACAUGAAAGGAGAGUAGAUCAUAUGCAAACUUAAUAAUGAAAAUGAGAAAAUACACAUACAAAAAGUAAGACUUAUCUACUAUAUGUAGCACAAAAAAAAAUGGAUUCCUUCUACUACCUCAAAAUAACACUCACUGGGAAGGGAUUAGCAUAUUAUAGAAAUAGUAAUAGAUAUAAUUUAUGUAAAACAAGUUUUAACUACUUUAUAUAUACAUCCCCUAGAUAUAUUAAUGUAAAACCGGAUUUUAAUUACUUUUUUAUCUCACUGGAAAUAUGUUCAUGCUAUUAGAUUGGAAUAUAUUGUAUAUGGUAUGUUCUAUUCAGAGGGAUUUGUAAAUAUUCCAUUCGAGAAAGAUAAAAUUUGAAACAAUUGGGAUUAUUUUGGAGACUGGAUUCACUUACUAAUUCAUGAUCUGACAUGUAAAGAAUAAAAACUUCAUUCUCGACUCUAUGAGAAUUCUUAUGAAAGUCUUUCAUUUGCUUCUCUUUGAUGGAAGUUUGAUUUUCCGAGAAUGUAUCCUAAUUUUUGGCCUAAUUCUUCAUCAUCAUCCAUGUGUUCACUUUCGAGAACAAAAAUCUUCCCCCUACUAAUGUUGUUAUGGUUGAACCGGGGUUGAAGGAGAAUGUCACUUACGGAUGUCAAAGUUUAGACAGCGGGAAUACUGCAUGCGGUUCAUGUCAAGAAGUGGUAAACCAGGUUGCAUGGCAGCCUCCUCAAGUAGAGCUUGUCAAAUUUGAUUCACCUGUCUCCAUUUUUGUCUUAAUUUCUUGUUCAGGUCUAAUGAGAAAGUGCCACUGAAUUAAAAAAAUUCUAAAAAAUACAAAUUAUCAUUUUUAUAUUACUUGGAUGAACCUGAUUGGUCCAGGACAUAGGGACUAUAAAUUAUAUUGAUGAGUGGCUUGAUGUUUAGGAUUAUUGCAGGGCCUAGUUUAUUCCUUGCGUUGAAUAGGCUUUGUUUUGUUUAUCCUUUCCCUUUCUGGAUGGAAGUUAUUUAACUGCCUUAACUACUUACUAUAUAUAGUAGGGUUGCGUAUCUUUGUAAGCACUUUUUCUCAUUCAAUGGAAAAUCAUUUCCACAUUCUCUUUUUCUCUUGGGGCUGUAAGAUGGUAUCAGAGCAAAAUUUGCUCUGAUUCGUCUACAUUCUUCGCAGAUUCUCCGCAAAUCUCAUUUACGAUUUCUUCUUCUUCUUCUUCUCUUCCUUCUUCGAUUCUUCUACUUCUUCAAGUCUCCAAUUUCUUCAAUUCAAUUCCGCAUUUCUUCAAUUCAACUCAAUUCUUCUGCGAUUUCUUCGAUUCUUCAAUAGAUUCUUGAAAUGGAAAAUCAGAGCUUCGAGGAUUACAAUGUCAAUCCUUCUAAUCCCUAUUUUCUUCACUCCAAUGAAAGUCCUGCUCUAAUCUUGGUUUCUCCUCUUCUGAAUGGAAGAAUUAUCAUUCCUGGUCUCGAGCUAUGAAAUUAGCUUUGCAAUCUAAGAACAAGGUGAGAUUCAUAGAUCAAUCGUUGCCUCAACCACCACUAGUUCAUCCUCUUAAUGCACAAUGGAUUAGAUGUAACACAAUGGUGUUAUCAUGGUUACAACAUUCUGUUGAAGAGGAAAUUGUGAAAUCCAUCCUUUGGAUUGAUGAUGCAACUGAAGUCUGGCAAGACCUCCAUGACAGGUUCUCCCAGGGAGAUGCUUUUCGUAUAGUCGAGCUUCAAGAGGAGUUUUACAGAAUGAAUCAAGGUAAUCAAUCCAUUUCUGAUUACUUCACUCAAUUAAAGAUGCUUUGGAAGGAAAUUGAGAAUAACAGAGCCAUAGGACGAUGUAAGUGUGUUGUUACUUGUGAUUGUGGCAUAAUUAAUCAGGUCAAUAUGCAUAGAGAGCAAGACUGUGUAAUUCGGUUUCUUAAGGGAUAGAAUGAUCAAUAUUCACAAGUCAGGUCUCAGAUCAUGUUAAUAGAACAUCUCCCCUCAACUAGCAACUUAUUCUAAAUGUUGACUCAACAAGAAAGACAAUUAAGUGUUCCAAUUUUUCCUGACCUGAAGGCCUUAGCCAUUUAGUCUCAAGGACGCUCCCAAUUCAAAAGCCUCAAUAGUAAUAGAAGGAGAUGAAAUAAUUAUUUCACAGGAAGAGGAAGAAUGUCUUAUAAUGGUAUAGGAAAUGGUGGUAGAUUCUGCACUUAUUGUGAGAGGACAAAUCACACUGUGGACACAUGUUUUCUGAAACAUGGCUAUCAUCCUGGUUAUCACUACAAUAAGUAUGGCAAGGUGGCCAAUAUUGCUAGAAAUGUUCCCAGCUUUCUUAUGGAGAUUGAAUAUGAUCAGGAUGGAAUGCACCAUCAGAACUAGGAGAAUUUGGUUGCUGACAAAGGCAAUAGAAACCAAGUUUUCAUUGAUGAGCAAGUUAGAUCCAUUUUGGAACUACUUGAGAGGAAUAGAGCUGACACUAGCAAGGUGAACUUUGUUAAAACUGAACAUACAACAUCUGCAAAUGCUGCUAUGCCUUCACCUGCAGGUAAUAAGUGUGUGGAUUGGUUGAUAGAUACUAGAGCCACUAAUCACAUUGCUUGUGAUAUGAAUACUUUUAACAGACAAAUGUUUAUGUCACCUGUGACAAUUACCUUACCUAAUGGAGAGAAAGUUACCACAAUUGUCUUUGGCAUAGUCAUCCUUUCUCAGUCUCUCAGUUUCAUGUCAAUCUAGUGUCAGUUGCUAAGUUGGUUAAGUCACACAAUUGUCGUUUAAUUUUCACUCUUAAUUCUUGUGUCAUUAUGCAGAACACUACUAGGAAAGUGAUUGGUACAAUUAGCUUAGAACAAGGCAUGUAUGUCAUCAAUGGUUUUAAUCCCUUACACAAGAAGCAUUCUCAUGUCUCUGUCUCUCAUUCUAUAAGUACCAGCGCUUGUGACCUUUAACAUCUAAGGUUUGGUCAUGCAUUACCUUCUUCUAUGAAGACUCUAUCUAGUCAAUUUAAUUGUAUUCCUACUUGUAGUACACAAAAUAUACCUUGUGAUGUCUAUCAUAGUUCCAAACAUAAAAAAUUACCCUUUUGUAAUAGUGCUACUCAUUCAAAUAAAAGUUUUCAAUUGUUGCAUGUUGAUAUAUGGGGUCCCUAUUCCACUACUUCCAUUUUUGGGCAUAAUUACUUUCUCACAUUAGUUGAUGAUUUCACAAGAUUCACUUGGGUAGUCAUGAUGAAAAGUAAGAGUGAAACCAGACAACAUAUUGUCAAAUUUAUCACCCUAGUUGAGAAUCAGUUUAAUGCUAAACUAAAAGCCAUUAAGAGUGAUAAUGGAGUAGAUUUCUUGAUAAAUGAUUUCUUCUCUUCAAAAGGAAUCCUUCAUCAGAGGUCUUGUGUCUAUACACCUCAAAAUAAUGGGGUUGUAGAGAGAAAACACCAACGCAUUCUCAAUGUUGCAAGAGCCAUAUUCUUUCAAUCUUCUUUAACUCCCAAUCUUUGGAACUUUGUUAUACAACAUGUUGUUCACAUCAUCAAUAGGCUUCCUAGUCCCUUGCUUCAUAAUUUGAGUCCUUACUAACUCUUCUAUGGUUCCCUACCUAAUCUAGACUCCUUAAAGGUUUUUGGUUGUCUAGCAUAUGUCAGCACUAUUGUUGUAGGGAGGGGUAAGUUUGACCCUAGGACUAGAACAUGCUUGUUCCUAGGAUAUAAGGAAGGGACAAAAGGGUUUAUCCUAUAUAAUCUUGCUUCGAAUGAGAUCUUCACCUCUAGAGAUGUCAUAUUCUAUGAGAACUCCUUUCCUUUGUCUUUGUCUUCUCCUUCUACUAAUUCAAAACACAUUCAUAUUCCUCUUGUCAAUCAUCCACCUGAGUCUACUACACCAUCCUUACUUGAGUCAAACACAAUUCCUUUUUUUGAGUCAAACACAAUUCCUUCUCUUGAGUCAAACACAUCUUCUUCCCCUGAGUCAAACACAUCAUCUCCAUCUAGGGCAAUAUCACCAAUUCUUAGACAAUCUAGAAGACUGAGAAGAUCACCUUUUCAUCUACAAGAUUAUCAUUGCGCUCUUUCUCAUAUUGUCACUAACAACAAUAAUGUUUAUGCCUCAAUUGUUCUUUAUCCCUUGUCCUUUGUUCUAGACUACUCAAAGUGUUGUCUUGCCUGUAAAAGUUUAUGCUUAGCCAUCUCUAGUACUCCUGAUCCUACCACUUAUAAACAGGUUGCUAAGUUGGAUCACUGGCAAAAGGCCAUGAAUGAUGAGCUACUAGCCUUGGCAUAGAAUGAAACAUGGUCUUUGGUUUCUCUUCCACUAGGGAAAGUCCAUAUAGGGUGUAAAUGGGUUUAUAAUACUAAGUUUCAUGCUUAUGGCACCCUUGAGAGACAUAAGGCUAGGUUGGUUGCAAAGGGCUAUACUCAGUUGGAAGGUGCGGAUUUCUUUGAUACCUUUUCUCCUGUGGUCAAAAUUACCACUAUUAGAAUUGUUUUAGCCUUGGCAGCCAUCAAAUGUUGGUUUUUGGAACAACUAGAUGUAAAUAAUACAUUUCUGCAUGGAGAUUUGCAGGAAGAGGUCUGCAUGAAUCCUCCUCCUGGACUUGUUCUUGAUGAUCCACAUCAUGUUUGCAAGUUGCACAAAUCCCUCUAUGGGUUAAAGUAGGCUAGUAGAGAGUGGCAUACCACCUCAUCCUCUGCCUUGAUUUCCUUAGGCUAUGACCACUCCCAAGCAGAUCAAGCUCUCUUCACUAAAUCCAAUCCUCAUUCUUUUACUGACAUACUGGUAUAUGUGGAUGACAUGGUAUUAACUGGAGAUAGUCUUGAUGAGAUUCUUCAUGUCAAGCAAUUUCUUGAUUACACAUUCAAAAUCAAAGACUUAGGCACUCUCAGAUUUCUCUUAGGUCUAGAAAUUGCUAGAACUAAGGAUGGCAUACACUUGAAUCAGAGAAAGUAUGCACUACCUCUAUUUGAAGAUUCAGGAUCCUUGGCUGUUAAGCCUUCUCAGAUUCCCUUUGAUCUUUCCCUCAAGUUGCAGCUUGAGCAAGACACUCCCUUCUCUGAUGUCCUCUGCUAUAGAAGACUUGUUGGGAGACUACUCUACUUUAUCAUUUUUAGGCCUGACAUUGCUUAUGCAGUCCAACAAUUGAGUCUAUUUAUGUGUAAACCUAUGGAUAUGCACUACAAGGAAGCUCUUAGAGUCCUUCACUAUCUAAAAUCUUCUCAUGCCCAAGGUCUUUUUUUCUCUUGUGCUUCCACACUCAAACUUGAUGGUUUUGCUGAUUCAGAUUGGGCAUGUUGUUUGGAUUCUAGGAAAUCCAUUACAGGUUUUUGCAUUUUUCUUGGCUCUUCACUCAUCUCUUGGAAGUCCAAGAAGCAUAACACAGUUAGUAAGUCAUCUUCAAAGGCUGAGUAUAGAGCAUUAGGAAGAUUGGCUUGUGAAUUGCAAUGGCUCAAUUACUUAUUUGUCGACUUGCACAUUCCUCUCCUCAAUCCUGCCUUAGUUUACUGUGAUAACAAAUCAGCCAUUUAUUUGGCUCACAAUCCUGUUUUCCAUGAGAGAUCCAAACAUAUUGAGGUUGAUUGCCAUGUGAUUCGUGAGAAGAUUAAAAAAGGAUUGCUUCAUCUCCUUCCCAUUGCUUCUGCUAACCAGUUGGUUGAUGCAUUUACCAAGUCAUUACCCCUACUUCCUUCAAAGCCUUUUUGUCCAAGUUGGGAUUGUGUUCUCUACACCAUCCAACUUGAGGGGGGUGUAAAUUAUAUUGAUGAUUGGCUUGAUGUUUUAGAUUAUUUCAGGGUCUAGUUUAUUCCUUACAUUGAAUAGGCUUUGUUUUGUUUAUCCUUUCCCUUUCUGGAUGGAAGUUAUUUAACUGCCUUAACUACCUACUAUAUAUAGUAGGUUUGUGUAUCUUUGUAAGCACUUUUUCUCAUUCAAUGGAAAAUCAUUUCCACAUUCUCUUUUUCUCUUUGGAUUGUAAGAGGGACAUAGUCAUUUUGGGAUAGAGGAUCCUAAUAUUGGUUUGGUGGUUUGUCAUUAUCAUGGUUCUUUUCCGGUGCAAAGUUAGGAAAUCUCAGUUCUUAUCAUCUGUAUUCAUUUUAUUUUUCAUAAGCAAAGAUUUUUUUGACAAGGAAUGGUAACUUGUGUAACUGUAAUGAUUCAAACCUUGAUGUUCAAUGGCUAGAUUGUGUUGGGGUGUGAAGCUAUAGAAGCUCAAUUCCUAUAAUCAGUUUCUUAUUUUAUUUUUUAUAGGUAAAAAUUUUGACAGAGAAUGAGAACUUGUGUAGCUGUCACAAUUUGAACUUUGAACCAUUGCGCUUAAUGCCUAGCACGAAGCAUGAGCAAUUUUGAAUGCUCUCCAUGUAGCCAUAGAGAAAUAUUGGCCAUUCAUCCCCGUUGAGAGUGACUAUCAAAAGGCGAUUGAAGAUUUAAAACCUCAGAAGAUAAUAGAGGAUAUCAAGUUCAACCCAUCCAAGUCUCUCCCAAAUGGUAAAGUCGGUAUCUUAAAUCGCAACUUUAUUACGUCGUGUUUAUAGCAAUUGUGAAAAGUUGUGGGAAAAUACGGGUUCCCAAAUCUGUUGUUGCCUUCAGUUUUACAUUGUCAUGCGGUGGAGUUGGAUCUGGUUAGAGAGUGUGGAAAAAGGUGACGUGAGUGAGUGGGUAAGGUUGGAAGAGUAAGUAGUUUUCGAAAAAUGAAAAAAAGUUGGGGUUAAAAUGAAAUCUCAAUUCAAAAACAUGUAUUUCAAUCCAAGUGAUUAAAAAAUAACCAAUAGCUAAAGCUUAUCAAGGUUCUACCCCAACUAAAUUAUAGAAUCCAUAUCUAUUUUUAGUCCAAGGUAAUCAUUGAUUCUGCCAUUAGCUUGAUGAACAUCCUUACAAGAACAUAGAAAUAGGGGGGAUCAACCAUGUUGCUAUCGUCACCUUCCAGUGCAUAAACUGAUAAACAUGCACACUAUAAAUGUUAAAUGGAAAAACAGCAACAUGAAACAACAAAACAAGCCAUCAUCUCUAAUAUAAUCAUCAUUAUAAUUGCACUCUUAGGGUUCAUUUAUAAGUUGGAUUUUGGAGGAAAACGAAUAAAAAAGAAAGACUUAAGCCUUCCAUUUAUCUCUUUUCCCCUCUAAAACCCAACUCGCAAACAGACUCUUAGGGUUAGUUUGGGAGUUGGAUUUUGGAGGGGAAGGAAGGGAAAGGGAAGGCUUGGGAGCCAUGAAAUAUACUUGUGAGAUGGCUCCCAAGCCUUCCUUUUCCCUUCCUUCCGCUCCAAAAUCCAACUCACAAAUUAACCCUUAGUGUUUGUUUGCAAGUUGGUUUCAAGAGGGUAACGAAGAGAAAUGCAUGUAAGCCAUAAAAUACACUUGCGAUAUAACUUUGAAACUUCCAUUUUCUCUUCCUUCCCCUCCAAAACUUAGCUCACAAACUAAACCCAAGGGAGAUUAGAAAGAAAAAACACAAUUGAGAAUAAAAUGGAAUCUAAAUCCAAAAUAACUGAAUUUUCUGUUUUCUCAAUGUACUCUACUCUCUAAUAUCAACUAAAUUGGCCUCUAAAAAUAAAAUCCGAAUCAGAUUUACGCCUCUAAUUUCAAAGGUGGGCACUGCCACUAAUCAAAAUACAGCCACCACCUUUACAUGAACCCUAAAGUUUGAAAAUUACAAUGGAAAAAAUCAGAAAAAUUGUUCUCUGAAUUGAAUUCUAUAUAUAUUACAAAUGCUAUUGAAGGAUUAUGCUACCAGCUAAACUAAUGCUAAGGUGGGCCAAGCACAAUGACAACCCAAGAAUGCAACAGUCAAGAAGAUUUUUUCAAUGCUAUUCCACUAGGAAGAAACCUAAUGCGGCUACAAUGUUUUAAUUUCGCUAGAGCUUCUUGUGACUUACCAAGCAAGAGAUCCACAAAAACUGCAGUAAGUGUAGCUUCUGGACAGUUUGGUGAUAUGGAUAAUGCCUCUGUAAUCAAUAUUUGGGCCCGCGCUAAGUCACCCUGCCUUGCAGACAUCGCCGCAAAAUUUGCAUAAAUUGUUGCCCGUGCCUCCUCUGGUUUGAUGAAAACAAUCCUUUGAGUGCCCUCAAGAGAAGAAUUAUUGGCUGUUGUAGAUCCUCUAUUUGCCUCUUCAAAUUCACAAGUGCUCUCCAUUUGCCAUUUCUCAAUAUCCUCUGAGAUAAAAGGCAAUUCAACAGUGUUUACCCCGGACAAAUAAAACGACAAAUGCUCUGCAGCUUCCUUCGGUCUGUUUAGCAAGCAGAGAGCCUCUGCUGCAUAAACAUGGCCUAGAAAGACAUAAAUUCUGGAACAUUCUGGAAUUUCUAAGAGUAAUCUUGCAACUAAGAGUGCCUUAACAGGGUUGUCCAGUUCCAGCUCCACAUAUGCUAGAUUAGCAAGAACAGCCUGCUUAAUCAACUGGUUUUCUUUUCUGCAUGUUCCCUCAUAAUAUGAGAGGGAGUUCUGAAUGAGUUGCUUACUGGUUCCUCCCUUUUGUUCUUUUGUAUCCAUAUUUGAAUUAACCUGAGCUAAACCAACUGCUACUGAAAACGAUUUUGAAUCAAUGCCGUGUAUGUUUUUAUGAUUUGAAGUCUUUGAAGACAACACUUCACUUGAAUCAGUUUCCUCAACCAAAGAAUUCGGCAGCAAACCGGACUGUAAACACUCUGCACUACAGGAAUCCAGCAAGAGCAGAACAUUUAAGAGACAUUGUCGGGCAAGGGACAUUGAUAACUUUAGCUGCCCAUCAUUGCUCAGACAACAAUCGCCACUUCUAUAAGAUUCCAUGUGUCCAUUUCUAGGACCUUGAUCUUCCACAACAAGUUGCCUCCAUUUUCCGUUUCCAACAACACAAACAUCAACCUCUGAGAUCUCUGAUGGAGCCCUACUUGAUUUAAUUAGACCGUUCUCUAAAGCCAUAAGACAGCACUCCGAGAGUCUGAGCCACAAUAGAGGCUGUCGGUAUAAAAUCAAACUGGCCUUCUGAAAACAAUGAGCAGCAUGUAUUGGCUUCUUACAAAGCAAGUACUGCAGACCAGAGUUAUAAAUUAUUAACAGAGAGUUGUCCCUUGAAAAAGUAGCUAGCUUUAACGGUUGGUCUUUUCGAACGGAUGAAAUAUUAGUCAAUGCUUUUGUGAAGAAUAAUGAUGAUGUCUGGAGUUUCCCCAGUUGAAAAUAUAUGCACCCAAGAUUAUUGUUGAACAUGCUUGAAAAUUCAGCAUCUGUCGAAUUACUUGAUGCCAUCAGUAAUUUUAUUGCCUUGUGGUGGUUACCACGAGCAUAUUCAAGCUGAGAUUUCAAAAGAAGAGCCAUGGAUAAAUCUCUUCCAUGUGCAAUGUUCAUAACCAGCUUGACUUCACGUUUUGCUAGCUUCAAGUUUCUAGUAAGUAGUAGAAAUCGAACCUUGUAAAGUUGCAACCUAAGCUUUAAAUCAAAAGUAGAAAACCUACCAACUAAAGCCUUCAAAAUAUCAUUUGGGGAUGGUCCCAAUGGCCUCCUUAAACUUCUUUUUUUGAUCGGCAGCCUCCCUAAUCGCUGUCUACCCAUACCCAAAAGCACGGCUUCAUAAUCAAGUGAAUCAUCAGAUAAAGCUCCAGAUAGAUUAUUUUCAGAGGCAUCAGCACUUGGUUCUAAAUCUAAAUUGGAUGCAUCAGCAAUGGAUGCACUAUUGGGAACAGAGGACGACUUUGUAAUUUGAUUUGUAGAUUUUUCUUGUGUGGUGUUCCCAUUGUCUCCUUGACUGACAUUACCAACGCCAAGUGCCUUUUCUAGAUAAGCCAACACAUCCUAAACAAAAUAGAUUCCAGCAUCAGAAAAGUUUAAUACAAUGACCAAAGCUAAGAUAAAAACACACAACUUUAAGACAUUUACUCAAAAAGUCAAAAACUAAUUAGCAUAAAAGUAAUUAGCAAUGGCAGGCUAGUGUUAGGAGCUAAAAUGUGAGAAGAAUCUAAAUCUUAAAAAAUAAUGUUUCUACUAAUCAUAAUUUAAAAAGAUAAUGUCAUUUACAGAUUUUCUAUCUUUGAUGACUGAGAAUUACAAUACAUGUAAAUAGGAUAUAAUAACAAAGAACACCUCCCAAUAGAUACAAAUAAAACAACCGACAGAUUAACUCCAAAAUUCACCAUCCAGAAAAGGUUCAGAAUAGAAAUUUUAGGUAAUCAACUACUUGGUAUAUAAAAUGACAAAUGGAAUAGAAGAAAAAGAUACAUGAACGAAAUAAAGUUAUCCAGACAUUCUACAUGUUCAACAAGAGAAGCUGACAAGGUCAUUCAAAACUUAUUUGCAAUUAAUGCCACCACUAACCUAAUGCUCCAUUCAUACAAACUAUCAUUGGCACUUGCAGCCUCUUCUCAUAACAUACUAAAUAGCCCCUUAAAUUCUCAUUAGGAAAAAGAACUAUUCAGACAAAUCUGUGUUGAGUGAGCAUCUCCAUUACUCUGAUACUUUUGAAACGUUCAAUAGUCACUGCUCUUGGAAAGCUGAAAUACUAAUAUCCAUAUAUUUCAUGCUCUUAAGCUAGACUGUGCAGUUUCUUGAAAAUGCAAACCAUCACCAAUAAAAGGCUGCCAAUACACUAUUAAUAAGCUCCUACUAUUUUCACUGCCUAAAACUUCCAGAAGUAAAUCUGUUGUUUCCGGGAUCACUCAAUGCUUGGCAAAACAUAUUUGAGAAAGAAACUUCUUAGCAUCCCUUGCAUUCAUAUUAUAAAAAUAUAUUAAAUAAAUCAAUCCAUCUCCAGAUAUUGAAGGUUGCCACCAAAAUAAGAGAAAGAACAAUUAUAAAAAUAAAUUAAGUGUCAAGGGAUUGGGCUUCUUACCUUAUAUAUAUAGAAUAGGUAUUGGCAUAAAGUUAAUGCUAACUGCUAAUUGUCACACUUAUCGAGUCACAUAGUAAAAUAUAUUUUUCAAUUUUCUCCUCUUUACAUCUCUUACCUCUUUUCUAUCUACAACAAAAAAGCUUUUCACCUUUUCUAUCCAUCCAAUCACUAAAAUAUCAGCAUGGUAUUAGAAAAGUAUCGUCCUCGGUUGCCAAAAUCAAUUAAAAUGUAAAAUUUACAAUUCUACAAUCCUGUGAUGAAUCAUCUUAACUUGCCUCAAAACUUGUUGCUUGAUAAACCCGGUGAUAGAUCAAACCAAAAUAAACUCACUGGACAAGGUCAUAUAUUGGUUAGGAACAUCAGACAACUGAUAAUAGGUUUGCAAUUGAUUCUUAAAUUGCCUUAUAUGGAGUUGGAGGGUUAGAUAUGCUAAUAAUUUUAUUUAAGGUUUAGGGUUUGACAUAACAAGAUGGUACCAUUUGACCCAUGUAGCCUGUGCCACCUGAUGGCAGAACCCUUUGGUGGUGGUUAUUAUUGCAUGCUUUUAAUUAUAACUGGGAAUAUGAAAUUUCCCCCCUAAAUACUAGCUAUCAAUUCAUAGCCGUUCCUUGACACUAUAUGGUACCGCUUAAGGGUCGUUUGCAAGUUAAGUUUUGGAGGGGAAGGGAGGGAAAUAGAAGGCCUUAGACUCAUUUGACAAGUGUAUUUCAUAGUUCUCAAGUCUUCCCUUUCCAUUCCUUCCCCUCCAAAAUCCAAUUCGCAAACAGACCCUAAGGGGAGUGCUGAAAACUAUGUAAACAAUAUACAUAUUUACUGUACAAGCUAACCAAACAUUGUACUAAUGUAAAUAUUGUUUUGAAAUUAUUAUGCUCUAUAUAAACAAGCCCUUGUUGUCUAAUUGCGACAUACAGGUUUCAUUAUGAUAGGGUAGGCAUAGGGUAGUAGAAAAGAGGUUUGUUGUUAGGAGUUGUUUGCAUUAAAUAAAGAGGGAAUUCCUAGAAUACCCUUACUAGUUAGUUAGAUUAGUGUAUUAUAUGUAUAAAUAGAGGAAGGAAAGCUUGUAAGAAGUAGUUUUUGGAGAAGUUGUAAAUGGGGAACUGAUUUAGGAAAUCAGUUAGGGAAGUUACUCUCUUGUGGAAGGAGUUCUUCAUCAUUGUAUACACAUUUUCAGCAAUAAUACAAGUUACUGAUCAAGAUCACAUUGAUCUUGCAUCUAUUCUUCUUCUAUUUUCUGUUUCUACAUUCUGAUUUGAUACCAGUUCUAACACAUUAUGUCUCACUUUUUUUUCCACCCAAACCAUACUUGCUUCAAACAACUUCAGGCCACAAUGAUGUAGAUUGUAGAGGAAAACGCCGAAGCUACUUAGCUUCCAAAGAGAUAUUCUUGGAAACCAAAUUACCAAUACCCAAUCCCCUCCUUUCUAGAUCUACAACACACCUUCCAACUCAUAAGAUGGUUUCUACUUAAUAUACCCAACAAAAGGAAAUAUCACAGCCACUGAUAUUCAAAAAGGGAGAGAAAUUAUAAUAGCAUCUCACAUGAGGAACAUCAAGAAUUUUUCUACCAAAAUAAAGCACACUGAUUCAGAAAUGGUAUCAAAGAGAAUCUCACUCACUGAGUAACUACUAAUUAUCUUACGAACAUUCUUGAAACCCUUCUAAUAGGAAAAAAAUCCUAAACUUUGAUAGACCUACCCCUUAUAAGAACAAGACUUAUAAAAGUAGAAUUCAUAUGAAAUUCUAUUUUACAAUUAUAGAUGAGUUUUCCAAACACCUUAAGAAAGUCAGCUAUGACAAUAUCCCAAUGGUUUUCAAAGAAAUAAAAACUGAAACCAUUCAAACUAGGAUCUUUCUCUAUCUCCAAGCUUUAUUAGAAGAAAUAUGAUACAACAAUAAAAGGUCUACAAGCCAUAUCCUAAAAAAAAACAAAGUACAAACCUAGUAAUCUCGUCAACAAUAACACCACAAUACCCCUAACAACACUAUAGCCCGAAUUCUUUAAUAAGGUGUUUUGUCCAUCUCCAGAAGGCCAGUAUAUGAAAAAGCGUUGAAUUGGUAACCCCAUUCUUUGCCCAAUUAAUUCUCAACUUUUGUAACUAACUCAUUUCUUCCCUAAAAGAAGCAUCUCUAGUUCAAGUCUCAAACUCGACCUCCUGACACAAAUGUUGUGAUAGUACCCUUUAAAUCCAAUCUAUGCAACAAGUCAAGCUCUCUUAAAUAUCUCCUUUCUCUUGCUUGAGGGCCAGUGUCUUGCCUUAGCAGGGCCCAUGUUAGGUCGAAGUCGAAUUGAAAAAUGGUGUAUGUAGCUAUUGGGCUUAAGGAAAUAUAGCUUUUAGCCUAUUUGUAAGCACCUAAUCCAACAUUUUCUUAAUCCAAAUUUACCCAGUGACAGAUGUAUUCAACUCUUUCAAACUUUCCUUGAGAAUAUUUAAUUUCAUCAUGAACUUAUAACCUUCCCAAUUAUCAAUAAAGUUCUACCCCAGACGAGGUGAACAGAGAAGAAGCCGAAGAAAAGACAAGGUGAACAAAGCUCCUACAUGCAGCACGGUGCUAGAGAGACAGUCUAUGGAAUAUUUGUGUUGGUUUCUAGCACCAGUUUACUAUGGUCUGAUCAGAAAAGAGGAGGAAUAUCUAGUCCAAGAGUGUCAACCGUUGGGUGAAGUUUCGGUGGAAUAAAGAAGGCUCGAUAAGUCCUCCUCAGACAAAAGGUUGAGGAGAGAAAAGGGACAAUUUCAUAUUCUUUACUCUUUUACAAUGUAUCCUUCCAGGUAUAUUAUUAUCAGAUUUAUGCACAACUUGUAGUCAUGAAAAAGCAGCCAUUUUACUAGUCAAAGACAAUGAGUAAAACACAAUGACGAUAGUCAUGAUAAAAACUUAAAAAGACUAAUAAUCUUUUUUAUAUAACUAAAAAACAUAUAACAUGUAAUCUAAAGUUUACUAUUAUCAAUGUAGAAUGAAUAACAAUUCAAUAUCUAUCAAAUGGAGAUAAAUUAAUCUCAUGUACAAACCACAUGACAUAUACAGUGUGAUUUUCAUGCUAUUGAUCUACUGUUCCUUUGGCUAACUUAGUUUAGCAGGAAAGUAAAGGGUAAGCACACAUAUUUGUUUCUAAGAUGUAUAAUAGUCACACAUAUAUUUGUUUCUAAGAUGGCUAUCUCAGUACAUAGCCAGGAAAUAACUAGCCAAAUCACUAAUCAAGACAUAAAACAAAAAUGUACUAAUAAAGUAUAAAAGUUAUGGUUACCAGCAACAAAUAGAUUAUGUAAAAAAGUACAACCUUUAAAAGGUAAAUCAACUAAAUAAAUUAUCAAAUAGAACUUACAGCUGAUUUUGAUGCAUCAUGGCAAGCCAGGGAAGCAUCCAGCAACAAAAGGCAAAUAUGUAGAGCUAUUGUCUGCUUUUGGAAAGACCGAAAGACACCCCAAAAAAAGACAUCAAUUACAUCAUUGCAGCAUCUAGAAUAAAAUAAAAUUGAGUGUCAUACAACAUACCUCAUUUAUGGGUUCAAUAUUUUGAAAGAGGGGUUCCAAAACAGCUAAUGUCUUUGCAUAGUCAUGAAGAUGGAACCAAAUUAUGGCCUAAAGAGAUUAAAGUAACAAAACCACAUAAACAAAGAUAUCAUGAACUAACUAUUAAAAUCAACAACUGAGAAUAAAAUGAAGUUAACAUUAAUAUGAGGAAAAAAUGAACAUACAAUAUUUAAGGUUGCCACAGAAGAGUUAAAUUCAUCUGUAUACAUAGUGAUGCUGUUUGCACCUGAAAAAUGGUGCUCCAAAUCAUUCCUUCCUUGGGAUCCUAACACAACUUUGUUUCCCAUACUGUUAACCGACUCUUCUUGUUCGACAGAAGCCAGAGCAAGUUCAUCACUUUUCUUCUGAACCAACCCCAGCAAUAAAAAACAUGGAGUAAGUACAAAUAAAGCAGACAAAGGAGCUUCAAACUGCAACUCAAAUUAUCUAAAUCAACAUAAGUCAAUUUAAACCUUAAAUUUGAAAACCAUCUCUGCUUCACUACAACGUUAAAGGGAAUAAGGGAUAAAACCUGUGAGAACAUAAAACCCAAAUUACCAAAAACUAGGGAAGACUUCCUACCUUCUUCAAUGAACUCUACUUUAUAAAUAUUGAAUGAGGAAAACCUAUCCAACUUUAAAUCCUAUGGAUACAUCUAUAUUUUCCAACAUUAAUAAUAUCAGAAGCAAUGCCCAGAAGAAAAAAUUCAGAAAAUAUAAACAAAAAUUGUAAUAAACUAUCAAUUAAUGUAUACAAUUCCAAUUUUCAAACAGGUAGCAAAAACUUAUUUCUCUGCAUUCUUAUUUCAAUGAAAAAAGCCAACUAGUGAAUAUAAAAUCAAGAGAACCUUUCAGAAAUCAGUAUAGUAGUAUAGACCAAUUUAUAUGGUUAAAUUAUAAACAUUCACUCCACCAACUGAAGUCAAGAGCCGAUUCAUUGAUUUGUUGGCCCCAAAAUAUUUACAUGCAUAGAGGCAUACAAACUACUAAUAAAAAAAGGGCGGCCCAGGGCAUGAGACUCCCACCUAGUGGGGUCUGGGGAGGUUAGAUGUGUGCAGCCUUACUCUCAUAAGCGAAGAUGUUUUUCCAAGAUUUGAACUCAUGACCUCCAAGUCACAAACAAACAACCUUAAUGAUAUUUUUAAACUUAAAAUAGCCCAAAUUAUGACCUAUGUAGUAUACCAUCAACAUAAUCUAGUCGUCCUUUUCUUAAAUCAUAGUUGGUGUUAGUGUCAUUCAAUUCAAAUUUUUUAAUCCAUAAAGGAAAACCACAUGGUUUACCUCAAACCCCUUCCAAGAAAAACAUACUUAGCACAAAAAUGAAACUUCACAAAAAUAACAAGGACAAAGUAAAGUUCAAAAUAGCAUACCUUGAUGCCACUAAGUAAUUCAAGCAACUUUUUGGGAUCUGAACAAUCAUCUCGGAAAUGUUCUGCAAUUGCAAUAUUAUGAAGGACCUGAAAUAUUAGGAUUGAAAACCUUAAACAGUAGGAUGUAGAAAAAAUAGUGCAAAAGAUAGAAUAAAUAAUACAUAACACAAGUAUAACACAAAAAUUUCUGGCUUAUAUAUAUUAGUGAAAAACAGAGAAAAAAAGGGAGAUAAUUUGCAUCUUAUAAUGGAGGUCCAAAAGCAACCAGUAACCCUCGUAAAUACCGGUGGCACUAGCAUGAAGUAAUCAGUUAAAAACUAACAAGUCAUGAUAAAAAGAAAUUUGUAAACCCAAUCAAUUGAUAAAGCUACUCAUGAUCAAGAACUCAAAAUCCUUCUCGACAAAUCAUUCAAACUUUCAAAGGCAUGCGUCUCUUCUACAAAUCUACAAAGUUUAUCCACACAUUCAAUGUUCUUACUCCUUACACGACAUGGUGCAAACGUAUCCCCAUACACACUCAAAAUAUUUACAUGAAUAAAUACAAGAUCAGUUGCACUCAUAGACACACAUGACUCAUUGACACAACACAUCCAAUGCAAAGCAAAGAGCUCAAUCGCCUUCUUGAUUUAAGACUCGUAAUUGUGUUUUCCGCGACACGGAGAGUUUUGCCACUUAAAUGGUUUUUCCCAGAUCAACUCGAAUUAUUCACAAUCCAAAGUGAUUUCCAACCAUAGAUACACAUCAUAAGAUUCAUUACAAGUUCUUACUAGCUCCGGCACCAAAAUAUAAUAAAAAAAUAACUAAUCAUAUAAUGUAUCUACCUCAGUUAGACAACAAGAUUAUAUAAACUAUGGUAUAAACAAGGAUCAAUGAAGAAAAAAGAAGCAUGGAACAGAUUCAAGAAUGAAGUGAUAACAUUACCUUUGGAUCGUGUUGUUUAUUAUUGUGCAAAAGCUGGUUCAAGACCUCGACACAUUCAGCGAACUUUGAUGACUGGAAAUGAGAGGCUGCGUCUUUUGCGAGUGAUACAGUGACAUUGGAAACGGCGUCGUCGGAAUCGGUUGUCGCCGGAGAAGCGUUGCGUGCGGUUGUUGACGACGGCGAUGAAUCUCGAGCGUCCAUGUUGAGAUGAACAAGUAACCGAGGACCUAAAAUUGAGUGAAGAUUUUAGGAGUACUUUGCUGAGAGAGAGUGGCUGAAUCGGAUAAUAUGAAAUGAAAAUUUUCAAAAAUGUAUUUUUCCAAGACUAACAUAAAAUUCAAAAUUAAAGCGAGCUAUCUUUAUAAAUAUUGUUAGGGGCCUAAAGAAUUUGGGUUAAGAACGCUGAAAGCAAUGGAAUCCAACCAAACUAUAAAGUAGGGUUCUGUUUUGUGGUUUAGUUUAAUUAAUUUUUUAAGAAACUAUUUAUGUUCAAGGUAAGGUUUUAGAAAUUUAUGAACCAUUGGAACUGAAUCGAACAACAUAUUAAAGACAUGUAUAUUAUAGAAUAAUGUUGUAUUGUUGUUUGAAUUAUUCAAUCAAUUUUAUGUGAAUUAUGGUGGUAUAUAUAUAUAUUACUAAAUUGUUAUUGUGUUAAUGUUANNNNNNNNNNNNNNNNNNNNNNNNNNNNNNNNNNNNNNNNNNNNNNNNNNNNNNNNNNNNNNNNNNNNNNNNNNNNNNNNNNNNNNNNNNNNNNNNNNNNUAUAUAUAUAUAUAUGAUAGUUUCAUGGUCCUGAAUUUGAAAUUAACAUAUACCAAAAUUGUUAUAUACAUGUAUAAUUAUAUAUGUUAUUAUUUUGAAUUGUAAUAUUAUAUGUUACUAAAUAUUUAUCAAGUUAUGUAUGUUACUAAUUGUGAAUUGUAUUACUAUAUAUGUUAUUAAUAAAUACAUGUAUUACUAAUUGUGGAUUCUACUAUUAUAUAUAUGGGUAUUCACUUUUUUCUUUCUAAAUUAAAUAAUUGUUAUAUGUUACUAACAAGCAAUUAUGAGUUUCAAUUUUUUUUACUUAUCUAUUUAGGAUUUAUAUUUUAUGAUAAUAAUAAUCAUAUUGUUUUUUCCUUUUAUGGACAAACAUUGUUUCUUGUAAUACAUUACGAACUAUCAAUUGAUGUAGAAUUUAAAAAAAAAAACAGGGAAAUCGUGGAACUGAACCAAACUAAAUCAUUCAUGAGUGGUUUGGUUCGAUUCAUGCAAUAAGAAUUGCAGUUAAAUAAAGUGAACCGAACCAUAUAUUUGGAUUUGGUUCGAUCAUUAAAUGCACAAUAAAUUAUGUAUGAUACUAAUGAGAUGAUGCAUGAAUAUAACCGAUUCAUAUUUUCUAAUGCAACCUUAUUAUUCUCUAAAUGAAUACAUUCGAGUAAGGGUCCCUAUCUGUCUGCAUCAUUAGCAUCAUGACCUUUGUCAAUACUAUGGAAAUCAUCUUCUUUACUAGCAAUGGACAAUGGGUACUAGUGUGUGCUACUUUUCUUGUCUACACAAUUGCCCUUUAUAUGCACGCAACGUGAAUAAAUCGAGGAAUAACACAUAUUCAAGCUUCAGAGUAUUGCCUUGUGUAGUUUAUGAUAAGUGUUCUCAUAGGUUCUAAGCCGAACCACUUAGGGUUAGUUUGAAAGUUGGAAUUUUGGAGGGGAAGAAAGAGAAAUGAAAGGCUUGAGAGCCAUAAAAUACACUUAUGAAAUGACUCCUAAGUCUUUCCUUUCCCUUCUUUCCCCUCCAAAAUUCAACUCUCAAACAAACCCUUAGGGAUUUCUCAUUGAAGUAAUCACCCCUUUUGGUGUCCAACCUAUAGUUUGUUUUUCAUCCUUGGCGUGAGUCAUUCAUCUUUGUCUUUCCAUUUUCUUAUCUUCCAAUUAUCAUGGAUAUUCACAUGUACUUCAAUUCUUAAUAUGUUCUUAUUUUCUGCCUCUAUCAUUUUGGUUCCAACAAAGAGCUUUUGAAUCAUUAAGACAAUCAAUUUUCCAUAUAAUGGUCAUUCUCAAGGACCUCCCUUUGAUGUCAUAUCAAAUGAUAUUUAGAGCCAACUCUGAUGAGAACAAAGAAAACUACAAGCUAUUUUAGGAGCACUUUUAUUUUUCUAAAUCCAUUAAAAGGACUGCUUGGUACACAAGGUUCUAAUUUGGUGGAGUCUGAAGAUGAUAGAUAUAUGUAGACUUACCCAUAAAGUGGAGAAACUAUUUUUAGGAUUUGAAUUUAUGAUUUCAUAUUCACUAAACAGUAACAUUGCCAUUUCUGAAUCUAUUAAGCCUUGAAAAGUACAAUCAAAAGGAAAAGAAAGAAAAUGAUAGAUUGGUCAAUGCCUUUGUUGAAAUUAAUUUUCAUACAAAUUUACAUAGUUUUAUUGUUUGAGAAAAAUGUUUUGAAAAUGAGAAAAAAUCAUAUUUCAGCCCCAUGAGACACAUCGAUGCCUUGGCUGACAACCCUGCUUUUGCUUUUGGAACCUCGCCCAAAGUAAUACUUCCCUUAUUGAUUUAGUUAAGAACUUAGGCUUUGUUUGAGAGUUAGGAGGAAAAGAAAAGGGAAGAGUAAAGAGUGGGAGGAAGGAAGGACAAAUCCAAGUAAACCUUCCUUUAUUUGGAGUGUGGAAUUUAAAUAGGAGGGGAUGAAAGAUUAAUGUAAUACAAAAAUACUAUUUUAUCCCCCCCCCCUUUAAAAAUUAAUAGUAUUCUAUGUACUAUAUGUUAUAAAAUAAUAUUUUUAAAUAAAUUCACAUUUUAAAAAUUAUUUCAAAUAUUAUGACACUCUGAUAUUCAUUUUAAAUAAUUAUUUUUAUAAAAAAUUGUUUAAAUUUAGACAAAAUAUUUUUAAAAAACAAAUUUAUAGAACCGAAUAUAUAAAAAUCAAACAAUAAUCUCAAACAACCUAAAAAGACUAAAAUAUAAGUUUAGAGAAAGUAAUUUCAAGAUGAAUAUAAACAACCGUUCAAUGAUUGAGUUAAUACAAAGUUACAAACUACAUGAACAUAUCUCAUGCUACAAAAGUAAGAGUGUAGAGUUCAUCUCUAUUCUUAGGUACAUUGACCACUUCAAAUAUUGAGCAAUUUGAUUUUUUUUUGCAAAACUACAUCAAUAUCUACAAAUAAAUAAAUAAAAUAGACUUAGAAAUUUACAUUUGAUAGAAGAGAAUAUGCAAAAUGUAAAAAAAAUAUAUGAUACACAAGGAAACUAGGACAAAUACCUUGAGAGACCAAUUGGACCAAGUACCAUCCAAACUAAAAAAAACUUUGACAUGAAGUUCAUAAUCUUACACAAACUAAAAAAAUAUCCUAAGCAUGUCAAAUCUCAACAUAACCAAACGUGAACAUUUCAAUGAAACUGCAAGAGCAACAUUCUUCUGCACAUUCUUUUGUCUUUGAUCCAAAAGUUGAUUAUAAGGAAGAAAUAAAUUAUCCACAAAAAAACAUUUCCUUCUAUUUCAACUUAACCUGUCUUCUCAAGCUCUCUCCAAACACUUUGAAACUUUGGAAGACAUAAGAUAUAAGUUGAAACUAUACAUAGAAAACUAGAUUAAGUCAAAGGAAGACAGUCCAUGCAAAUGCUAGUUGGAGGAUCUAUAACGAGUUCAGGAUUAUGGUAGAUGAGGGUUUGAGAAGUGCAACAACCAAUAGAAAUAAAGAAAGAAGGAAAUGGUGGGAAUUCAUAUCUGGUUUUGGAAAACAUUUUCAAUCCGCAAAUUAAAGGCAUAAUAAAGACGUGGGUACUAUCUUUUGGAGUGUGUGGUUUUCAACUUUUCAAAGUGGCUAUUUCCAAAAUGAAAUUUAAUGUUAUGCAAUAUGAGUUUAGGAUUAUGAUUGAAACAACAUAUGACAAUAAUCAAUAUGAAACUAUGCAAGACACAAAAUUGAAACCCCAAAGUAGAUUUGGAAUCGAAAACCAAAAGGAUAUAAAUGUUGUAAUGAAACAAAAAAUCUAUCAAUCAAAAACUUAAUUGAUUAAAACACAAAAGGAAAAUAGUCAUUUAGAAUUGAUUUGCAGAUUAAUUUCAAAAAUGGAAAUGAAUAAAAAAAGAAGUGAAGGGGUUUGUUUCAGUGUUGUUAGAAUCGGACCGGACCGGACGAUCCGACCAGUCUGACCGCUGACCGGACUUGAAAACGGCUCUGGUUUGUUGUCUUAACCGAAUGAGAGUUGAACCGCUUUGAACCGGAAAAAAUCCGGUCCGACCAUGUUAAACCCGGUUAAACCGGAUUAACCCGGGAAGUAAACUGGACGGCUCACCUAAAAAUAAAAAAAAUGGGACAAUUUUUAAUAUUUUGUUUUACUACAAUCCAAAAAAAGAUAAAGAGGUAUUAUUUCAAUAUAAUUAUACAUAAUUAUUAGUUAUAUAAAGUUUUUCAUUUAUAUAUAACUAUAUAUUUAUAAAUAAAAAUUAUUAAUUAUGUACGAAAUCACCUGGUUAGACCGGACGGUUUAACCGUUUAAACCGGUUAAAUCUAAUACGGGACCUCUGCCGGUUUGACGUCCGGCUCGGGUUUCACAACACUGAUUUGUUUACAUUUUAGCCAUUGUUUCAUGAAGAUUCACGCCAAUAGGAACCGAAUUUGCAUAAUCAAACAAUAAUAUCAAUCAAAAGAAGAAACAUUGAAUCAAAUUGAAGGAGGAUAACAAUUUAAAUAUUUAGAUAAUGGCAUCAUAUAUACUAAUAAAUUAUACAAGAAGGAUGGAUAAGAAACUAAAAACACUCAUGGUAGUGACAAAUAGAAAAUGAUAUUGAAAAGAAAGUGUUGAAAUUCAUAAUGAUACAUACCAAAUGCAAUUUGAGGUUCAUAUAAACACAAAAGCUGAACCACCUUCAAUCCAACGAAAAUCACAAAAUAUGGAUUAAAAAAUCAGAAAUGAAAAUCAAGAAUGAGAAAAAAUGUAGAUCGAUUCAAUGAAGGGAGAAAUGUACUAAUCAUGCUUCAAUGAAACAUUGAGAUAACUUCAUGUCUUUAUCUUUUGUGGUUGAGAGUUUCAGAAUGAGAGAGAACCAAAAAAGAAAACCCUAAUGUUGAAGCAUAAAUGACACAAGGGUAGAAAUGUAAUUAGAAAAUAUUAAUAAGGGUAGUUAGGUAAUUUGGCUUAUUUUCCUCCCAAAAACACCCUAAUUUGGGAGACGAGUAUUUUGGCAUUUGGAGGGUUUGAGGGGGUUUGAAAUAUCCUUCGAAAACCUCCCCUCUCCUCCAUUAAACUCCCAAACAAGGAAAUCCCUCUCCUAAACCCUCCCAUUCCUUCCCUCCCCUCUAAAAUGGUACUCCCAAACAACCCUAAGGAGAACACAUGAGUGAAAAGACAAGAUAGUUCAUUAUAGAAAAAGUCUCAAAAGAGUGCAUACAGUUGAAUAUGAGUGAAACAUGUAAGUGAGUGAGGCCAAUAUUAAUUUUGUGAUUUCUAAUAUUUUACUACAAGAAUGUCAGACAAAGUAAAAGAGAAGUUUCUCCAGGUGAAGGCAAAGGCCUAAGUCCAAUCCAAAUGCAGGCUUUGAAUAUGCAUGCACUUUAACAAUGCCUUAAGUUAACAAGCUGGUGAAUUUCAUGAAGCCUUAUAGCAUAGGGACAAUCAACUAAAAGAGGAAAUUAGAAGAAAAUGAAGAAGGGAAGAUCCUAAUGAAAUGCCAAGACAAAAUAGAAUGGAAGGGGUCAACUCAACAUUUCACCCUUUGAAGGUAGAAAUGACCCGGAAGCAUAUUUGGAGUAGGAGUUAAAGAUUUCACAUGUUGUCUCAUUCAAGUACUACACUGAAUAAAAGAGAUUAAAUUGGAUCCAGCUAAGUUUUAUGAAUAUGCUAUAGAAUGGUGGUACAAAUACUAAAGAGAUAUUGUAAAACAAGGAACAAAUGGUCGAUACUUGGGGAUGAAAAAUUAUUCUUAGUUUGGUAAUAUUUUGUUGUAGCUUGAUCCCUUAGCAUGGAACUGCUGCCACCAUCCACUAAAUCACCUUGAUUUGUAAGCUCCUAAUUCUUCUAAUUAACAUGGUUGGGUUCUAUUUUAUGAGUAAUUGAACUCGCCUUUAGGAUUUUACUACAAAAUAAAACAUCUUCGACUUCUGUUAAAACAAAAAAAAAUGAAAUUAGCUAUUUUUUCUUAAUUUUAUUAGAAGGUCCUCUUAUAAAAUAGAGAAAAUUACACUUAUGUUUAUUGGUACUAUUAUUUAUGAUUAAUUUUAAUUAAAAUUAAACUUUUAAUGUGUUGGCAAGAUUUAAUUGGUUGUCUCCACAUACAUACGUCUCCAUGUAAGUCUUUCUCUACAAAACAUGUCAACAUUUUAAUUAUUUCCUACAAUUUAUAGUAUUCUUAAUUAAUUUUUAUUACUAAUUAUUUUAUAUUGUUUUUAAUUAAUUAGACUUAUGUUAUGAUUGAUUCUAUUGUUAGACAAAAUGUGCAUUUAUAUAUGUAAUAAUUGUAUUGUAGCAGGUAUCUUUUAGUGGAAAAUAAUUGACCAAAUAUGGGGAUAAUUCUAGCUUAACCUGUAACAACUUAAUACUGUCGUUUUUACAACGAAAAAUCCACAAAACUCUCUUAAAAUUUAAGUUUUUUUUGUAAGUAAUUAUUAUGAACUGUUUUAUUCUUCCUAAUUACUUCUUAAUUUAAUUAUUAGUUUAAUUAUUAGUGAAAUUAGUUUAUGCAUAAAAAAAAAUGUUUAUUAUUAUAGGUGUACGUAGGAACACAACAAUGUGGGUGUGAGGGGAGUAAGUGAAUUAAGCUAAGGGGUUUAUUAAUACAAAUUUUUAAAGCGCUCUUUACAUUACUAUAAUAUUUAUAUACUAAUACUAUAAAAAUUUAUACAUAAUUACUAUAUAAUGAAAGUGUAUAAAAAGUCAAUAAUAAUUAAAUGUGAAUAGUGAAUGAUAUAAUGAAAGUGUAUAAAAUUCAUACACUAUCAAUACAUAUAUGUUUUUCUCUUACAUUAAUUAGUUAUCACUUUAUAUUUAUUACCUAUCUUCCUUAUUAUUUUCAUAUUUCUUAUAAUUUGUAGGGUCGUAGGGAAUGAGAAGGAUGAGAGUGCAAAGAUAAUGUCAUGAAGUGGAUGCUCAAUAUUAUAUUUAGUAUUAUCACCUGAAAUUGGAAACAACUAACUAACCGAUACUUGUAAAAAUUAUAUAUUAGUUACAUUUUAUUUCAGUUUAUUCUCUAUAAGAUCAUUUGUAUGGUCAAUUGGAUGUAGAUGUGUCGUGCCCCGAUUUUCAGUUGCACGACUUUGUUUAGAGUUGUUAUUGCAUUUUAUAGUUAAAAAUGUAGAAAAAUCUUUAAAGCCCAAUUACCUUGGGCUUUUGGAUUUUUGAUAUCCAGAUUCGGGAGUCGGUUACAAGGUAGGGAAUGUAUUAGCACCCUACCCGCCCGCCUUAAGCGGUAUCCUUCAUUAAAAUAUAUGACAUUAUUAUUAUUAUUUAUUAAAUUGUCUGAUUAAUUAGUUACUUAUUAUGAAAAAAAUUAUUUAUUUUAAUUAUUGAGUCUGACAAUAUUGGCUUUGGUCCUACGCACCCCUAUUAAGGGGAUCAAGGCUUACGUAGUUCUUUAAGUAGAAAAAUGUUUAUUGGUUGACAAAUUUUAUUAAUGAAAAUAUUUAUUUUUGUGUGUAAUGAAAAAAGGCGUUUUGAUUAGUUGUUAAUUUAGUUGAAAAUGAUAUUUUUUUAUUGAUUUUAGGAAUUAAUCGAGUGAAAUGAAGUGGCGUAGCGCGACCUUUCGAAGAUGAGUUGAGAAGAAAGAAGCCUAUAAGGCGACCGUCUCUCCAUCUUUGAUUAAUUCCUAAAAUUCGAUGCACAGAGAAAGAUGCAAUACGAGUCAUAACCUUGUUACUGAAUCCCAUACGUGAUCAAAACAUAUUUUAAACAACGUAAAUAUUUUUUAUUGAGAAAAUUAAUAGGUGAAGAACCAACAUUGACCACUUACCGCCUUCUGGCUUCGAUAAAUAAUAGAGGCGACGUUAGUGAUCACAACCACUUCUCGGCUCAAAGGGAAAGAAAGAUAUGACAUGAAUUAUCACCUCUCAAUUAAAAUUAUUGAUUAAAAUACAUUAUUAUCCAAGUAAAACAAAUAAUUUUAAAAUUAUUGUUAUUAAUGAAAUCACUUUAAUCCCUUUACUUUUGUAAAUGAAUGAAAACAGUGGCUAGUAAUUUCUAAUUGAGAAAACGUACUGAUAUUGAAACAAAUUAAUUAAAGGGACUUUAACCUUACAGGCCACUUCACUACUGUGAACACUCAAUUUUGUCCAACUUCUUUAAAAUAAUAUAAAAUGUUCAGAAAAAAGGAUAAGAGAAAAAAAGAAUUAAAAGUUUGCAUUUUUUAUUGUCUCUUAGCUAACUUUAUCUUUGAAUCAUAAUCAACUUGAAUAAAAAAGGGGGAAUUACUAGUUGCAUACACAAAUACACUUGGAAAUCAAAGAGCCACUAACUUAGGGGCAUAAAAGUCUAGUCCCGGAAAGUAGAUGAGCUUUUGAGGGAUUCCCUCUUUCUUUUUUUAAGCCACAAGCCAACUUCAGUCCAUAAACCAAACUAAAGUCCUUAAAGCCAAUGAAGUUGUUAACAUUUCAUUAGACAAACGUAUAAUUACAAUCACUAGGUAUAUAAGUAAAGAGGACAAGGCACUGCCCCUGAAGGUUCAAAUACUUGAUAAACAAGGCAUACAAAGAGAUUAUCAUUUAAAACCGUACAAGGCAUUUCAUUUGGAAUAACCAUGAAGAUGGUUGAAAGAGAUCUGACACCUAAUGUCAUCAGUUAUAUGUUGCAAAGUUAUUGGAUGGAUGAAGCCAUGACGCUCCUAACAGAAACGCGUCAUUAAAACUCAGUUCUAGGCACCAUAACUUGUGAUUUUCUUCUUGAUGGCAUGUCCAAGUCAGGAAGAAGCAUGGAUGAACGGGACGGAGUUGAGGCUGUGCGUGCCAAUUCCACCACCUAAUUCCCUCAGUUGUAACUGCAAAAAGAGAUUACAAUCAUAGCAUUAGAGUUAAGAACCCGUAGUGAAAAUUCAGUCAUGACAAAAACUCAAAAAAAAAGCAUGAUGUGAAUUAAUAAUUAGAAGGAUUUCAAAAGAGACACAGUUGCAAACCAGAAGCCAUUCCUUUUACAGUUACACUCUUAAGGAAGAAGUGGCCUAUGCAAUUACAGAUUUCUAAUGAAGCAAUUAAGCAAACCAGCAAAUAGCCAAUUUCAGUUACGAACCAGCAAGGGGCAUAUAUGGGUUAUCAAUCAAAUCAUGAACAAGCCAUAAAGAGCAAAGGUAAUUCAGAAAUCAUAGGUCUUUCAGUUACAAAUUCCUAUCAACAGUCAGGGGCAAUUUUAAGGCCUCACUAAACCAUGAAAAUUUAAAAGAGGCAAAUCUGAAAGCCUCACCAUUUCAGUUACAAAUUAGCCAUAAUUGGCAGCAAUAAUAGGCAGCAAUAAUAGGCAGCAUUGAAGUGGAAUAAACCAAAAUAGAAUAAUCAGGAAACAAAAUGGUCAUCUUACGUUGGAUUGCAAUUGGCAACUCAAGAGGUUCCUAUGAACCCUCAAUCAGUAUAAAAGGAAUGGGAAGCAAGCAAAUAGGGGGGGAAUAGGGGAAAAAAUAUAAGAAAGAUCAAGCAGAUACACAUCAGUCCAAAUACACACAUACGGGGUGGCAUACCAUAGUUACGGACUACACAGUGAUAAAAAGCAGCAAGCAUAAACAUAGAAGUUUCAGAAAAGAAGAUAUAAGCAUACACAUAGCUCUAUCAUACAUACACACAUUUUUACUAAGCAUCACAUAUAGCGCAUAGAAUCCGGAAACAAUAACAAAACCACAAUCCAGAAUGCACACGCAGAGAUCCAACCAAAAACAUACAACAUCCGUAUCACUGAAUAAAGCAAUUCCGUAAGAAUCACAGGUCAUACCAGGUAAUAUUUUCUUAUUCAGCUUCCAAACUAGUUUUCUGUCCAUAUACCUAUUUUGUACUAUCACGUUCAAACAAUUAUAUAGAAACACAUUGGAUCAAAAAAAACAACAUAUCAUGAUAAUCUUAAAACAGUUUUGACUAGUUUAUGAAUGAUUGUUAGCCAAACCCUUUUGUCAUAAGCCUAUCUUCGAGCUACAUAAGCAAUAAAGAAUUAAGAUGACAUCGCAAUAUAUAACACGCUAGACUCUGCUAAAUGCUAAUCCUACGAUUAUCAAUCCGGUGUAUGUGGUCUUGUUGUUAUCAUUAUCACUCAUUAUACUAAGUUACGAAUCUGUAUUAAUCAUUGACAUCAAUAUGCGUUAUAUAAUGGAAUAGAAAACCUUUUUCAGUAACUUUGUUUCAAGAAAACCCAUCAAUCUUAGUCUUUUCAUUUAUGCAAUAUGUAGUGUUGAUAAUACUAAAAUGCGAAUACAAGAGCCUAAAAUAAAUAAAUUAGAAACAACAACACAUGGUUUGAUAUAGUGAGUUCGUUUCACAAAAUGAGAGCAACAUAGGCAAUAAAGCAGACAGUUAAGGUUUCAACAAAAAAGGGAGGCGAUUUGGUUCAUUACCAAAUUCUUUCGUCUCUGUCGAUCCCGUGAUUGAGAUAUUCAAUUCACAACCCGAUAAAAUAGAUGAGGUGAUGCAAGAAUCAUCCCAUGAUUAGUCUUACUGAAUCAAAACAAUUAUAUAUUAACCAAUUCAAUAAAUUAAUAUUUCUAAAACCUACAAAUGUUUUCUAAAUCACUAACCAUUAACCAAAGUAGCUAAACAUUUUUUGAACUAGAACUACGUAAGCCUUGAUCCCCUUAAUAGGGGUACGUAGGACCAAAGUUAAUAUUGUCAGGCUCAAUAAUAAAAAUAAAUAAUUCUAAAUAAAUAAUAGUUAAGGGUAUAAAAAUCUAUGUUAUUAGCGAGGGUACCGUUUUAAUACGGGCGGACGGGGCGCUAAUACCUUCCCCGAUCCGUAAUCGACUCCCGAAUCCAGAAUCUCUGCCUAAAGACCAUAUUAUCCUAAUUGGGCUUACUAUAGAGUUUUCUACGUUUUAACCGCAAAAAACGUAGUGGCGACUCCAAAUCAAUUGGGAGAGGUAGAAAUCGAGUUCGUCUCCUCCCUAAGUCGUAGGGCCGGUCUUCCAACAGAAAAUCGAGUCGCGACAGCUGGCGACUCCACUGGGGAUACCCAUAAGAGGGUCAAGCCCAGAACCGCUAACUCAUGGACUUAAUUACCCAUAUUUUGUUUGCCAUAUUUUUUUUACAAUUAUUAUAUGCUUUACUUUUAUUUUAUUUAUUAUUUGUGAACUCCUUGUUUAAUUAUUUUGCAUUGGGGGUGGUAAUUUAUUUUUAAGAAAAGGUUUGUAUACUUUCUCACACACUAGUGUUGUACACUUGAGUUUGUACACACAUAUGCCUGACCCGGGUAUUAGUGCUUAAGAUUUGAGAUAGAAAGGACAUCUGCUUUGCCGGUAAAUGACUUCGAGUCAUAUCUGGUAUUGGCAAAAUGGACCACCCAGAUCGUUCCCAAUAUCAUGAGUUAGCGGCUUGGAGGGCUCGAUCCUUCUCGUUUCUAGCCCGUGAUAUUUGGUUUCCUUUCCUUCAGGAUCGGAUGCGAUUUGGUGACCUAGAAGUUUGAAGUUCUUACCAUGUCCACGUUAAUCAAGACUUAGUACCCUCCUCAUAGGGUUGUGACCUUUAGACUAUCCGGAACCUUAUAAGUGUACCUUAUUUAGGACACGAGAAGCAUAACCCAAACUUUGUCCUUCACCAUUUAUAAAUUGGGACUUUUGUCCCUAAAAAGUCCUCGUGCCAGAGUGUUACGAGGACAUUAUUGCACUUUGAUGUCCUUAUUCUAUAAGGACGGCAAGAUAAUUGUUCAUUCCCUGCCAUGGGCUAAGCGCCAUAGGGAUAAUUUUUUUUCAUUCCUUACCAUGGGCUAAGCGCCCUAGGGAUAAUUUUUCAUUUCCUACCAUGGUCUAAGCGCCCUAGGGAUAAUUGUUUCAUUAUUUUUAUUUUUCCUAAUAUUUUUGUUCCUUACCAUGGGCUAAGCGCCCUAGGGAUAAUUGUUCAUUUCCUUACCAUGGGCUAAGAGCCCUAGGGAUAAUUGUUUUCAUUCCUUACCAUGGGCUAAGCGCCCUAAGGNNNNNNNNNNNNNNNNNNNNNNNNNNNNNNNNNNNNNNNNNNNNNNNNNNNNNNNNNNNNNNNNNNNNNNNNNNNNNNNNNNNNNNNNNNNNNNNNNNNNUCAUAAAAAAUCACUCAAACAUUGCAUUUCAUGCACUAUUACAUAUUGCAUUUCAUACAUCAUACCUUAUCUAAGAAGUAAAAAUAAAGUGAUUCAUGCACUUUCACCACUGACUAAAAAACAAAGCAAAAAAUCCUUUUACCAUUGCAUUUUCAUGCAAUAGCAUAUCAUGCAUUGCAUACACCACCAAAAUCUAUACUCGAAAAGCUUCAUACCCAUAUCAAAAUUCAUAUUCGUACAAUACAUUUUCAAUACCAUACACCCUCACAACUCCCAAAACACCGUCCUAACACAAACAAAAUACAUUUUCCUCAACAAAUCCAAAACAAGUUACAUCAAAUCAAACAACUACUAUUGCUUCUAAGCACCCUUAUAACAAUCGUCUUCGAUCAAGACUUAUGGCAUAAUCAAAUCAGAAGAAUCAAAUCAGAGUUGGCAGUCCUCAAGGAACUCAUGAGUCAGAACAUACUUUGGAACCCCUACUAUUCUCUCCAAGGCUUAGCGUCAUCAAACAACUAGAUCCGAUGUCUCCAUUUCAAGAAGAAAGUUGAUUUUCGACUGCAUAUCUUUUUCAGAAGAACAUACUAAUGCAUUGAUCAUGCAAAUUUACCAUCUCAUACUUCAUUCCACCAAUCUCAUUCCAAAAAAAAACACAAAAGGAACAAGCCAAAAAUUUAAUUCAUGCACUAAUGUGAGAUAUUUGAUUCAAUAACUUUAAUGAAACGGAGAAUGAUGUAAAUAUAAGACCCAAAAUGGUGCAAUUCCUAAGGCAAAUCUUUCUGAUGACACAAGGCAUCUUUGAAAAUCCCCAAACACUAUGAAGAUACCCCUAGUCACCCAUUUGAGCCCUAGACUUUAUGAAAGGAUAUUUUUUCUAAAAAAACCCGCAAAAUAUCAAUAACCUUGGGUAGGGUAGUAUCUCAACUGUUUUCCUUGACAUUCAAUUGUUAAGAAAUAAAUACACUCUACUAUUUCCAAAUCUAACCCGAGGGUUAAAAAUCCUAAGCAAUUCAAAAAUUCACCGGUCAAGGUGUGAAAUAACAUAAAAAAAAUAUAUACAAAAGGCCCGCUGAGAAUCCUCAAUAAAAAUCUCACGCAAAAGUUAGGGCAAAUAAAGUGCACUAUCAAUGACCGCAAAAAGGAACAAUUCAAAUACCCCUCGGGAAGAUUAUCGCCUAAAUAUUAGGCAUUCACCUACUACACCACAAAAAUCCAACAAAAUCUUAGUACUUGAAUGUCAUGUCAAGAAAACUGUUGAAAUAGGACAAUGGAGAAAGGAGAACGUAGAAAGGGGUUUGGUAAACACAUUUUUGAGCCUUAUCCUUUUUCUUGGAAACCCUUAGCCAGACCACGAUACAAGCUCAAAAGACCUUNNNNNNNNNNNNNNNNNNNNNNNNNNNNNNNNNNNNNNNNNNNNNNNNNNNNNNNNNNNNNNNNNNNNNNNNNNNNNNNNNNNNNNNNNNNNNNNNNNNNCUUUCCAGGACCCCGAGCCUUAUGUGAAUUUCUGAGUUCCAACAGUACCUAACCUGCAUUCUCGUUUUAAAAUUAUGCUUUCCAGGACCCCGAGCCUGAUGUGCUUUCAAUCAAUCUUUCCUGGACCCUGAGCCUGAUGUGAAUUUCCGAGUUCCGACAGUACCCAACCUGCGUUCUCGUUUUAAAAUUAUGCUUUCCAGGACCCCGAGCCUGAUGUGAUUUCAAUCAAUCUUCCCAGGACCCCGAGCCUGAUGUGAAUUUCUGAGUUCCAGCAGCACCGACCUGCGUUCUCGUUUUAAAAUUAUGCUUUCCAGGACCCCGAGCCUGAUGUGCUUUCAAUCAAUCUUUCCAGGACCCCGAGCCUGAUGUGAAUUUCCGAGUUCCGACAGUACCUAACCUGCGUUCUCGUUUUAAAAUUAGGCUUUCCAGGACCCCGAGCCUGAUGUGCUUUCAAUCAAUCUUUCUAGGACCCCGAGCCUGAUGUGAAUUUCCGAGUUCCGACAGUACCUAACCUGUGCUCUCGUUUUAAAAUUAGGCUUUCCAGGACCCCGAGCCUGAUGUGCUUUCAAUCAAUCUUUCCAGGACCCCGAGCCUGAUGUGAAUUUCCGAGUUCCGGCAGUACCCGACCUGCGUUCUCGCAUUUACUUUUAUUGUCUCGAGUCCUGACAGUACCCGACCUGCGUUCUCGCUUUACCAUUUAUCUCGAUCUCACUUAAGGUUGUGUAGUGAUCGUUGCUUUCGCCUAUUUUUAACAAAAUUGGCGUUCAUUUCUUUACUAAUUGCUUACAAAGAUAGCACUCACACAUCAAUUUAGUUGCAAUCUAAUAAGCCAUGAGUAAAGAGGGGCAGCUGUGAACACUCACUUUUAUCCGACCCCUACUUUUGUCUUGUGCAAGACUCAAUGAAAAAAUAAAACAUGGUUUCAUGAUUUGAGUGGGAAUUCAUGUAAGUAAGUUGGAUAUGGUUCGUAUGCAAAUUCAGUGCCUUUUUUAUUAUUAGGCAUAAAUCAUAUUGAUGUAUAAGUCCCAUGAUGAUAAUCAAGCUAAGAAGCACUUCAUGAACAUCUUUCAUGCAAUAAAAUCAUUUGCGUUGAAAUGCUUCCAUUAUGGAAUUACCUAUCAAAUGACAAGUCUGAAGCUAUAAAAUUAAAACUUCAAGAGAAACCCCUUUGUCCUGAAAAGUUGGAAAGCAUUAAAGGUUUCAAUUAGGCAUGGAUGAUGUAUCAAAUAUUAAGGUUGUCCUAAAGCAUCUACCAAGAUAGACAAAGCUUCUUAUGCUUGUAGUGAUUUUCCAACAACCAGCCACGUUCUUCACAAAAUCAAGGCAUUACAAUAAAGAAAAAACAUUGGACUUUUCAAAGGGUCCACCCGUAACACUUCAAAGUGCUAUUACAUUAUAAAUAAUUCUAUUGAUGCCAUUACAUAACAAAAUUUUUGUACCAAUUGCUCAACCUAUUACACACCAAGACAAAGGUAUAAGUGUCAAACAAAGGAUGGGAGUUGGAAUGGUUCUCUCAAUCCUAGCCAUGGUUAUCGCAGCUCUAGUUGAAAUAAGAAGGCUUGUACAAUCAGAAACAGUCCCACGUAGCAUUUUGGUUACUACCACAAUUGAGAACACCAACUGUGGGAUUUUCCAUUGUUAGAUUACUUGCAAGUUGGCAACCUGCACAUAUAUAACAAAUUCAACAAAAUAACACAAGUUCAUACCGAUUCCAACAAACAUAUUGCACNNNNNNNNNNNNNNNNNNNNNNNNNNNNNNNNNNNNNNNNNNNNNNNNNNNNNNNNNNNNNNNNNNNNNNNNNNNNNNNNNNNNNNNNNNNNNNNNNNNNCACAUACAUUCAGCAAGAAGAGAUAUACAACAUAGUGAGAUAUCACACAUAUACACUCAGUACAAACAGAGAGCAUUCCAACCGCCUUAACACAUAAGGCAUUACAACGACUCAGAGCAGGUACUACAACGAGUUCAGAGAACAUUUCUAACUAAUAGAAUAAGUAAGCAAAUAGAGAAGUGAGAGUAGAUGGGUCAUUACCUUGCUCCGGCGACCAUCACGAAAAUAGGAACCCAAAUUUUGGAGCCAUGAUCCAUACGUUGUGCCUCACCGACACUGCAGAAGAAGGUUAGGGUUUUUUAGAAUCUCUUUUUGGCGCUUAAGAGUCCCUGAACCGCAUCACCUCGAACCACCACCACCGGAGACGGAAUUAGAAAGGAGAUGAAGUUGGGAAUUAGGGAUUUCAAUUUUUUCCUUCGCAACCUAUCCUGCGUGAAUAUUAGGUAAAGGGGAUAAUACCCUUCAAUUACCCCCUUUCUUUGGUUUUACACGAUGCACUUCUGUUAAUUACAAUAUAAUAGUU
rnacentral:lncRNA from 1 species